UUUUUUUUUUUUUUUUUUUUUUUUGUGGAAAGGGGGGUGGGGGGCAGAUUUAGAAAGUCAUCUAAAAACACAAUCAAGGGCAGGGAGGGAACACUGUUUGAUUACUCUAAAGUAGGCCCUUAGGAGGCAGCAUCAUUGGUUGACUUAAUGAACAUGCCAUCCAGGGGCUAUGAAUGGAUUGCUUGUAAAUAACCAGACCUGACAUAAUCAUGAUUUAAAUUGCUAAUCCUGUUCCUGUUUUGGAAUGACAUAUCAGUCACAAAUUUCGGCUGCAUUGUGCAGAGUUGGAAUUGCGAAGAAGAAAGUAUCUCAAAUCAAAUGUCCCUCGUGAUCAUUUUCAAUGUAGAGAGAUAGGUAAGGAUUUUUUUUUUUUAUUUUAAUUUUUUUGGGUUGAUUAGGUAACUAAACAUACAGUAGAGGAAACCCUUGUUCAGUAACCUGGAAAAUUGCAUCCACUAGGCAAAAUCAAAGCCUUAAAGGACACCAAAAUGAACUAUCUAUGAUAGUUGGACUGCUGGACAAUGGCUGCAAAGCUCCCUCACUCCCUCUUCUUCAAUUGGCUCAAAGCUCCUCCAUGCAUGAUCUGCUGUUGCUGUUGUUGCAGAUGUGUCAACUGAAUGGACCAUUGAAAUUGUUCUUGAUGAUUCCCCUGGCACCUUAUAACCAGCCAAGAAAUACAGAUGACUUCCAGUUGGUGCCAUAGUUAGGUACAGCCCUUGAAUGGGUUGGAAGUCUUCUUCACCACCAUAUUUCAGAUAUGUGGAAACUGGAGAUGGAAAUCUUUUUAGUUGUGACCCUUCAACCACGUUCCAUGUAGUGAGUUUUCCGUCGUCGAACUCAAUAUGACCUUUCCAUGCACUCAGGCAAUCCCCAGAGCCAAACAGAUGGCCAGAAACAAGGUCCCACUUGCCACUCUGUACAUUGUACACCUCAGCCGAGCACCCAUCUAUGUAAUACGAUUGGACGAAUCCACCGACCACGUGGACUUUCCCUCGCCACGUCACACCUACAGAUUUGCACCUUAAUCUGUUCGUGUUAGGCAGGGGAGCCCAUUUAUCUGUCAGGGGAUCAUACACUUCAGCGGCAGCAGUGCCCCUGGCACCAGCCAGCGCGGAGUGCCCUCCAGCAACAUAGAUCUUGUUGUCACAGACAGUGCCCGCAAAAUCAUAUCUAGGUACGCUAAGGGGUGCACAAUUAGGCCAUUCCUCAGUGUGGAUAUUGUAGCAGAAUACACUUGAAAGUACUUCCACAUCUGUUUGUAGCCAAGUGAGGACUAGAUAACAAGAAGGUAAAAGUAAAUCUGUUUGUAUUUCUUGAGAUUUAGUACCUUGGGAUCAAAUUCAAGGGCACUGCUCGUAAAUCAGGAUCAUGCAAGCAUCAUAACAUUUGCCACGGUUAGAAUGGAGUUGAGUUGGUUACAAAAUCCAAAUACUCGAAUUCGAUACAACCAAGAAGUCUAGUUUAUUAUCGUUUAAUUCAUCCUGGUCAAUUCUGAGAGUAAAGGCGUUUCUUUCCCUCUUCCUUUUCCUUCUUUUUAGUUAAUGCCAUCAUGGGAUGAAAGAUUGUACACAUUUGGGCAUGGCUUAGAGUGUGUUGCACAAAACAAAUCAAGUGAAAUCCAAAUGAAGAUGAUUGCUACUAGGAAAGCUAUAUAUACAUAUAUAUAUAGGCGGACACAUAAAUGUUUUAUACUAAAAAAAACUAGUGGUUUGCCGACACAUUAAGUCUAACUAAAGUGCAAACUACAUCUAAAAUACUGUUAGUGAUCAGUACAAAAAUCAUGCUCAGGAACAUACGGCCUUUUUUUAAUUUGGAAGAAGGAACACACGACCUCAAAUCAUAGACAAGUCUAAUCAUUCCAUGGUGUUCUAUUCCUCUCUUUCUAUCGCCACUCCAUUAUCUCUCAUUUUAUUUAUGCAAUCAAUCACGUUUAAUUAGAACUUAAAUAAAAGGGAAAAUAUAAAAAACCUCCCCCAAAGCUUCUCUUAAAAUCACAUAGCACUCCUAAAGUUUUAAAAUUAUCACUUAAUCUCCUUUACUUUUUUUUUUUAUUUGUGUUAAAAACCCUAAACUACCAUUUUGCUCGCUAAAUAAAAAUGCUCGUAAGUUACUUUGUCUGUUUCAAGAAAACCAUCACCUAAAAAAUAAUCUCUAAUAGUACUACCAGGGCACAAUGCUAUAGUCCAUAAAAGUACAAAUAUGAAAAACAAAAAAGAUAUUUGUAAAGAAAUACACUAGUACCAAUUUUAUUCUAUAUGCUCAAAAUUGAUUUCUUAUGAUCCUUAUAUUUUUUUUCCAACUUCUUCGCAAUCCGUGUCCAAUCCUUUAAAUUGUACUGAUCAUUAUAAAAAUCAAUUCAAAAUAAACAAAAAAAAUCUUACCCCACUCUAUCACAAUCACAAAGGUGAAAGAUAAACAAAAUUCAAUUUACUAUAAUUUACAAAUAAAAAUCGCAUAAUCAUCAAAAAAAAUGUGUAAGAGAGAAUGUUGGAGAAAGAAGAAAGAGAAUGAAGUGACUUAUGUUUCUUUUUUUUAAAUUUUUUUUGAGUUACGUUUAUUUGAUAUGUGAAUUAUGUAUCAAGUGAGAGUUAAUAUAAUCUUUUUGUAAUUAAUAGGGGAGGUAAGUCAAGUGAUAUCUUCAAAAUUUUAAGUGUGCUAAGUGAUAUUAGAAGAAACCUUAAGGGAGGUUUCUGAUAUUAUCCAUAAAUAAAUUGUGGGGGGCUGGAAUAGGUUCAUUACUUAAAAGUUGGCUAUAGAUGCACUUUCGCAUGAACCACUCUGAAAAAGUACCUAAAAAGAAGAUGGAUCCAAUCCAUACAAAGAUACACCAAAUCUCACUAUUACUUCUACUAAUACUACUAUUAGGGUCUAAAUGAGCAAAAGAAUAAUUCAAUUCGGCGAUAGACAUCAUCGAGGUUUGCUGAUCAAGAAUCAACUAACUUUUUUAGUCGAGCUAGAACAUAAUAAUGUCUCAAUAUCUCUUGUUCAAAGAUCUUCUUUAUCUACUUUUGGGGCGAAAAGAAAUCCUAAACCAAAUAUUAUAUUGAAGUUGCAGUUCUAGAUCAAUAUGGAUAUUGCUGUUGCUUAAGGGUUGAGAAAGCAAGACAUGCAACCGGGGAACCAAUCAAUCUUGUAUUGGUGCAGCUUUGUAGAAGUAAGGUAACUAUCUGCUGGCUGCUCCUUUUAUUAUUAUUUUUUUGAGUCACAUCUGCAUGCCACUUAACUUUAAUUAUAGUUCCACAUCAUUAGAAAAGCGAAAAAAUUAUUUAACAGAAUAAAAAAGAGCAAGAAAAACAUGUCUAGGGAGUAGUUCCUAUGUACAAGCUUCAUGUAUGUUAACCCCAAGAUUGCCCUGAUCGAGUUAUGACAUAGCAUUGGCUAAGGUGGAUAAUUUUAGGUUCAAAUAUUUGGGUGUUUGAGCUAUCGAAUUGUGCUUUUGUUCAAAUUCUGCCAUCAUUUUCCAUUCGGGGGUUUUUUUUUUUUUUUCCCCUAAAGGUAGAGAAGAAGAAGUGCUUCUUAAUUGCUUUAUUAAACUAAUAUCAAAUUGGACCAUGCACGUGAUUGCAUUAGCCUAAAAACCAGUUUUCAUUAGGAAAAAUUAAACCUUGCUUGGAAUGGUAAUUUUGACCCCCCCCCCCAAAAAAAAAAAAGGAAUUUCUAGACACAUUUUUCAAUUUCUUUCUAUCUCAUAUACAUCACACUACUACAUUAAUAUUUUGAGCAAAUCUUAUAUACACUGACAGUAGUGUAUACGCUAUUACAGUUGAAUGCACAACACAUAUGCAAAUUCUGAGUUUUAAAUUUAAAUUCAAAUUAUAUAUCAUGUAUCUAAUAAUAAAAGUAUAUACAAUGCAAUGUGCGAAAGAUUAAUCAUAAUAUUUUUAUACAAGAAACUCUAAAAACUAGCAUUCCAAAGAUUAAGCUUCAGUUUUCCUUGUUGCGAUAUGGCCCAAGUGAUGUAAUAAAUGGGCUCAUUGCUUUUGGGCCUCAAUUCCAAUGGAUUACACUGGCUUACUUUUAGUCAAUGAAUCGGGCUCGAUACUGAGUCGGCCUCAAGAUACCCGGGAAGUUUUUGAUGAGCGCCUAGUAGCCGAAUAAUAAUAUUAAUUUGUUCAAGUCUUCAAAUGUUCCCCCCACUAUAUUUUUUUUUUUUAACUUGUAAUAAGACUUGGAGACUUUUUUAAACUAAUAUAUAUAACAAGGUUUGGUCCAAAACUGAUCAACAUGGAUCUGGCAAGAUUUAAAGAGGCCCUCCAUUUUUUUGUUAAAAAGAAAAAGAGGCCCUCCAUUCUAAGUCGAUUAGUAGUGAUAUAUUACUUUUAUAUCUUUUUAGUACAAUGUGUCACUUUAAUUCGUAAUAUUAAUAUUUUACAAUAUAUAUAUAUAUAUAUAUAUAUAUAUAUAUAUAAUUUUCAAAAAAAAAAAGAAGAAUAUACGCGCUUCCAAAGAUGUUUUGCUGUAUAUCAGUGCAUUCAUAUCCUGCCGAGGACAGAAGCCAAUGUGCAGGAAGAUGGGGUAACUAUUAUACCGGGGCCCUGCACAUCAGAAAUUGAAUGCAUUAGUUAUUCUUAUUUUUAUUUUUUUUGCCAACAUUUUCUUACGAAAGUAAGAAUGGCAGUUUUUUGGUUGGUUGUCUCCUGAGUCAUUGUCUCAAAUUUACUGUGUGUUUUUGUUUUUCAACCUUUUUCUUUUUUCUCAAAAUUUCACCUACCCCUUUGCGGAAGGGCGUGUAGGAGGAAGUGGGGCUAUCGACCAACCACCUUUUUAUUUCAUAUACAUUACAUCAUAAAAAGUGCUAUAGUAAUUAUUUCAAAUAAAUAUUUCAAAUAAUACCCUAUCCAAACAAUCCGAUCGGAUUUGGAUCCAGUGAUCUGAUUUGGAUCCUAUGCAAAAUAACGAAUAUUCAAUCCCUCAGAUCAUAUGUGGAUCGAAUCACAUCUGGAUCAAGAAGUUAUGCGAGUCGAGUUCGGAUAUCAUUUUUUGUGACCCAUGAAUAUUUGAUCCCAUCCGUAUAGUAUUUUUUUUUAUUUUAAGAAUUGUUGAUACAUUAAAUCCACUAAUUUAUAAUUAUUUUAUCUCUUGUUUCUUAUUUUCACAUCUAUAUCAUCUUUCAAAAUAAACUUUCUUUGCAUAUGAUGUUAAGUUUUCAAACAUAUUGUUGUGUAAUCUGUGGAUAAAGAAAUUGUAGACGAAAUAUUUAAUAUUAUUUGUUUGAAUCAAAAUAAGAAAAAAAGAUAUAAAAGUUACUUUAUAUUGCAACAAAACAAAAUUAAAAAGUUCAGCAAAUUAGGCACAUGAUAUUUUUGAAACUCUAAUGCAUCUAAAUUUCAUUUUACUUUUUGGAUUUAUACUUUUUUUUAAAAAAAUUAAAAAUGGAUACGAGUCGAAUAUCUAAUUGACCCGACUGCAUAUUGCAGCCAGAUAUGUGUGGAUAUUCGCAUUAGCGGAGGAUCCGAAUAUGGUUCACAAAAUGACUGAUCCGCUUUUGCGAAUCGAGUCAACAUUCCAAUGCGUGCGUGAAGGUCCGCUAACCAGGGUAAUCAAGGUAUUGGGAAUAGGGGACCAAAAUUCGGGCAAAAGAGAAUUUAUUGAGAAUCUGCAAAGUCCAAACUGGCUACUGCAACGAGACAUUGGGAAGAAGCAUUGAAAUCUACCAAUCCUGAACGCAUUUUACACUACAGACCUUUUGUCGGAGACAAAUGAGUUUACGGGGAAAAAGGGUUUCUGAUUUGAUGCAUCACGAAGGAGAUUCCUCGCCGAUUAUUUCACGUGAUUAUUUCAUCAUGAAUUUUGAGCCAUAUUUCUUCACAAUGGACUUGAGCAAGAAUGAUCCCUCGAGUCAACUACUCAGUCGACCUCAAGAAAUUGCUACCGGUAAAGUCUUUGACGACGAAAAGUUAUUAUUAUUUUCAAAGCGAAAGACAAAAAAAAUCUAUUUAUUAAAAUAUGAGCAAUAUUUUAAACGAUUUUUUUAAUAUUUGAAUUAUAUAUAUAUAUCUAUAAUUUUCAACAAUAAUGUAUGACUACAUUACAUCAAUAUAUGUGCUUCCUGUAUACCAGUGCAUUUAUAUCCUGCCAAUGUGUAGGACAGAAGCCAAUGUGGAGGAAGAUGAGGAAAAUGCAUCAUACCAGGGGGGCCCGGGGCAUCAGAAAUUGAAUUCAUAGUCAUUCAAUUCAAUCUUCCUCAGUCCCGGGGCUUUUAUGGUUUUUUGUUUUACUACUUUUUGUUUAUUACAAAUUUUCACCUUCACUUUUGCAGAUGGGGAUGUAGGAGGGAGUGGGACUAACCACUAUUAAUAGGGGGUGUGCAGAUGAUCCGAACAAACCUGAAACAGCGGAUAUCCGAUCCGCCAAAUCACAUCCGUAUCAAGAAGUCAUGCAGAUCAAAUUUGGAUCACGAAGGAGAUUCCUCGCCGAUUGUUUCACAUGACAUGAUACUCUGCUCGAGGCCGUAAAUAGGAAUUUAGAGCUAUCUUUCUUCACAUGAAUUUUGGCUGGUUGUAUUUGAUUUGAUUAGUAGUACUUUGCACUCCACUUUACGUGCGUGAUAAUUAUUUACCAAAACAGCCAAGCUCUUGGCUUAGUAAGUAAUCUGGUUUUCAUGGGGUAGGAGUGAAACUUACUUACUUGAGGAACUAUCUAUCUUUUUUUUGUUUUUCUUUUUCAAUAGGGUAGGAGUGAAAGUUAAGAAGCAGCGAAGGGAGAAUAAAGAUUUGAAGUUUGAGCCUCUAAUUUUUAGGAUCUCAAUCUUAACCGCUAGAUCAGAACCUUCUCAGUACUUGAUAAACUAUUUAAUUAUGUGCGAAGAUUAUUUUAUUGUUUAAGAAGCAUAAAUUUUGCGUUAUAGUGUACACAUUCACAAUUUAUAAUUAAUGUAGUUUUCAUUAAGUUAACAUGCACAGAAAUUAGUUGAGAAACUAUUUAAAGAUUAAUUGAAUGUUUAAAAAGCAUAAUUUUUUUGUUGUAGUGUACAUGUUCACAAUUUAAGGCAGAGGAAUUAUAAGCAGAAGGUUCUAUGUUCAAGACCUCCCACUUUUCUCAAAAAAAAAAAAAAAAGUACACAAUAGACGAUUUAUAUUUUGCUCCACUUGCAUUUACACAUACUUACUCUUAAAUACUAGUUAAGUUGACCAUUUAAAAACCCAAAAUUUGGUGGGACACAAAAUUAUACCAAAUUCUUAGACGCACAAGUGUUUUAUUUUAUUUUAUUUUAUCGUUUUGUUAGGAAACAUCCAAACAAGAGGCAAGGAAAUGCUCGGUAGAACCUAACAUUUAUAUAUCCUACCAUGUAUAUAUAUAUACUAACAGUUAUUAACAUUCUUUGUAUAUUUUUUCUAUUUAAUCUUACCUACCAUUAUAUUUAUUUACUUUUCUUAAUUAAUUUUACAUUUUAAAAAAUAUGACACCUAAAAAUAUAUCUUAACGGACACCCUCAUACUUCAAAUUCAGGUGGCACUAAAUAAUACGCCUUUAUACAAGGAUUUAUUGCCCAGUAUUGCAUCUCUAGAGGAAUGAAUACAAAGCCAACAAAUCUGCUGGUGCUUAAUCACAGAUCAUGGAAUGGGUGAGUCCUUUGUAUUAUCAAAAGGUGAUUAGUAAAAUUUAGCCACAUUGCCUCAACUAAUUCUAACUAAAAAUUUGCACAAACAAAAUCUUUGAAAACUUCAAAACCUUUGUCAAAAGUUAACUACUCCUUUCUAUCCGAAAUAUCAGCUGCCCUGAUCGCCCAAGUGAUUUUAGCUUCCACAAAAUGUUGCACCCAUGUAACUGGAAGUAGUAUCCAAUACUGUGACCUACAUGCUACUAGUAUAUGCUACUAGUAAUAGAAACGAGGGUUUGAUUAUUAACUGCCGAGGAAUUCAGCUGAGGACUGUUUUUUUUAACAACAGCUAGGAUUGUGAUGCUUCAGGCCUUCAAGGACAGGGCUCUCUUCCCAUAGCAAACUGUCUCUGUCUCUCUCUGGAUCAUGGAAUUUGAGUCUCCCGAUGCAAGAAAAAACAGUGCUACUGUGGUCUGUGGGGAAGCCUGCAAUUGGUAGGGCGCAGUUUCCUUUAAAUGCCAACACAACUACACACCGGCAUUUGCAUUUUAUUUUGUCUUUCCUUCUGGUCUCAUCAACUAAAAACUUGGAAGCUUUUCCCUUAGUAUUCUCUUUGAGUACUUCUACGUAAAUGUAGAAAGGGUCUCUCCCACGUAACAUCGCAAGUCAUUUUUGGGUACUAUCUUCCGAGCUUUGUUGGAACUAUCUUUCUUUUUCCCCUCCAGGAAGAACUUCAAGAACCACAUCAAACAAAAAAAAAAAAAAAAAUCCAGCAGAGCAUUUGCCUACCAUUUCACAUCAUCCCAAAUGUUUGUCCUUUAUUCUUGACCAUGACGUGCUUCUAAUUGCAGAUAAAGAUAGAUUUCAAGCGCCUUCUCUGCUGUGAAAGCUGCACUAUCGAAAUUCGAAAGAGGUUACUUUGGCAUGGUUUUGGCUCAGAAACUAGGGUUUGGCUCUUCUUCGUUUUGAGAUACUGAGAAAAGCAAGAUAUACGGUGUACAUUUAGCAUGAUGGCAUUGGGAGGAAGUCUCUCACGGGUGAACAGUUACAGCAAGAAGCAGUGCAGAAGCCUUUUCUGCAGAGUAAGGGCAGCAGCGAAGAAGGCCAUCAGGAGCGCUGGUGGUGGUGGAAAAGGUAAACAUCAAUUCAAAUUCCACUAUGAUCCUUCGAGCUAUGCCCUCAACUUUGAUGACGGCUCUCAUGAAUCGGGAGAGAAAACAACAACGGUGUUUUACCAGCAGCCAUCCAACUCCAAACUGCAGAGCUCUUGCAAGACCAAUAAUACUACCUGGAUUUAUAUCAUCUGGGUGGAGUCUUAACUCUUACGCAGUUCUGUGUUUCCACAUUUUCUACUACCAUAUAUGAGUCAAAUUCAUGUUUAUUUCCAAGUUUUUGUUUACCUUUUACAGUACUUUCCUUGUGAUUCUCUUCUGCUACCUGCUGCAAGAGUACGAAAAUAGUGUCCUUUUGGCUAUACUCUUGAUUAAGUUACGAACAUUUCCAAACUUCGAUUCUUUAAUACAUAUGGUCUAUCCAGUGGCCUUUUAGCAAAUAAUCACCCCUGGCCUACUCUCAAAAACAGCCUAAUACAUUAGUAUUGGCAACAAUAAACAUGAGACAGAGAGACCCAGAAAUUUAUUAAUUUUCCGUGCGGUAUAGACAGCAGAUACGCUUUUCGUUGUGAAUAAUAAGUGACUUUACGCGUUUAUUUAAUAUCCACACUGACAAAAAGCGGACAUAUACAGAGAGAGAGAGAGAGCCAUCACUGUUCCCAUCUGUUGUACUACUAGAUAACAAACUAAAUUCAUCAUUAAUGAUACUGUAAAGGAAAGCGGACACAAGGAGUAUCAUUUAUUAUACAUGAGAUUGGCAAAGAAUCCACAUUCGGAACAAAACGGUGCAAUACGUGACUGUUUCCAUUGGCUGUACACCAAGUUUGCUUUCUGUGGAGAGACCUAUUGCCCUAGUAAAGUAGUAUAAAUUAAUGAAAAUGACAUCCAUGAAUGACUGACCAACUACUUUCUUCCAAGAUACACCGUAUUGCAGCUCUUUGCUGUCGUACCCGUUGAAUGAGCAGUGCCUCCAGAUGGGCAUAACUUCAAUCAACAAUCAAGGAGUUUUCAUGUCCUUCAAACACCGGGAUCUUCAAGGGUGGCAGUAGAUAUAUCAUUUAUGCGAGGAUAAGCAGCCUUCUCAUCAAGUUGGUUUUGUGCCCAGAUCAGCAUCUUUAACAAACUUGGGAGCUUGGGAUCUGUUUUCCAGUCAUCAUGAGAGAACAUUCAAGGAUAUGUUGAACUUCUAAAGCAUAACGACAAACAAUAAUAUAGUACGUAUCCACGAGCAUUAGCAAUAAAAUUUCUGCAAUGUUUUAAUAAUUUGAUAUUUAAUUAAUCACACUCCUUGACAUCACAAGAGAAAUAUGUCAGCGUAUAACUGUCACACCCGUAAACAAUAGAAUUCACAUUGAACACUGACUCCACUUGCCACUAAGCCUUGGAAAUCAAAGUUGGAGCCAUAAUAUGUAUGAAUGUUUGAUUAAGUUGUUUUGCAGAGAAUAUGGAUUCUCAUUUCUAUUCUCAUUUCUAAUGAUGUACAUAUUUUUUUCUCCUUUUCAUGUUUGGGCAGUCUCAUAUCUUCUGAUGCUGCUACCCUUGAACUCAAAAUGUUCAAAUUUUUGCCAGAUUAGCAAGAGAUAAAAAAAAAAAAAACAUAAUCUGAUUUAACUAUAUGAGCCGAAUGAGCUUAGAAAGAGCUUGCUUAUGAUUUCUGACGGGUUGACUUUGGACAAAGUUUUGACUUGAUAGUUUCUGAGUUACUCAACUUUUGACUAAUUGCCGACCGAGCAUAAUUUUUACCCAUAUAAUACUUGGCUUAACUUUAUUCGUUCACAGCUCUAAUUACUGUUCAAAAUUGUACCUUAUAAACCUCAAUAGCCAAUAAAUGCACAUCGGUGAGCAUGAUAAUGACUUUAACACUGACAUUAGGACAGAUAAGUAAACCUUUACCAUGUCUGUAAGAACUGAAACUCUGUUAUAACUUCAGAGGAGGCAAUAAUCAAAGACAUUUGUAAAAGACUGAUAAGCAUUCUUUCUAUGUUUACCACAAAUCAUAUCAAGUUUUACAGAAGCACUUUUGGAGAAUAAAGAGUAACCUUUUUCAUGGCUUUGGCUGGUAAGGAUUGCUGCAUUCACUUCACUUGCGGUCUUAAGGCGCUGGGAUAUAUCCAGAAGCUCAGCAACAGGGCAGUUAUUCACAUCUUCAAAAGCUAAUAGGGAAACAGUCCUCUCCAACUCUUCCAAAAAGCUUUGCUGCAAAAUGUCCUGCUCUAGUAAGAAUCAAGUAUUGAGACAAAUAAUGCAAGAAUAUUAAGCUUGAUACUUAAAAAAAUCAAGCUAACCAAAAAUGUAACCAAAAUAAAGACUAAUGAAAUUGAGUCAAUUAAGAUGUAGAAAAGCAGUCAUGACUUGACUAACAAGCAUUUGGUAGAAUUAGUAAAUGGAGGAGAAUAUAAACAAGUGCGUUACAUAACAAGCUAAGAAUUACAUUUUCCUCUCCUCUUGGAGCAAGUUCCUCCUGAGCAAAUUCUAAAGCUUCAGCGACUUUUCCAUUUCUGAUCAAUUCUAUCAACCUUUGUUGUUGAAGAUGAAAAAAGAGCUGGGGAUUUGUAUCCAAUAUCUGCAUGAAAAUUUUCGAUUAUAUCUUGAUCAAAAGUAAUGAACAUCAUAAACAUCACAGCUUCAAAAUUGUUGAACUCAAGAGAUAGAUUCAUAGGAGAUACUGGAAUAACUCUCAUCUCAAACUAAAGUAUAAAUCACUGUUCCAUGAAACGAAGGACAUGGUUGAUAUUUUACAUGACAAAAUCCCAUUAAGCUUCAGCCUAGUGUUAUGUAAUGUCAAAAGGUGCAACAUCUCCAUAGUCAAAUCUGUUCUGUCAACAAAAUUCUUGAUUUCUUACUAUGUGAUAUGAGUUCAAUUGAGCCAAGAACCAGAAUGCCACUUGCCUUCAAGCAUGCAAACACAUAUGUUCCCCUUUUUUUAUUUCAACACAUAUUUUACCAUUUUCCUCCACAAAUGAAUAGUUUUUUAAGCAAUAAAAGGGCAAACUUUACAUGUUUCUUGCUUGUGCUUAGACAGCACCAUGUGGCAAAAGCAACAAACAAGACAUUUCCAAAGGAAGGUCUCCCUCCUUUACAGAUAUACUCAAAUAAUAAAUGGAGUAAUGCACUAUGAAACUGAAUAUAGAAAUGAAAGGGCAAAACCAUAGUUAACAUUAAAGAUACAAUGUAGCAUUGAGUAAAAAAAAAAUUCUUCUUCACAUACCGGAAUCUUCAGUCAAAUGAAUAUUGCACAAGGAAAAUUGUUCCAGUAUCAUGCCUAGUACAUAAAUCAUAUUUUAUGCCAUACUGAACUGCAAUGGCUCCAUAAUAAUAAAAAAAUCCGGCUAGCACCUAUCAUGAGCAACAAAUACUUUUCAAUAGGCCUUUUUGUUUAGUUUCUAAUAAGUUAUUCAACUUAAAUAAUCAGCACUUCUCGUCUAUUAAAUGUUAGUCAAUCUAUGUUUGAUUCCAGAAUAGAUAAUACAGAUCAUGAAACCGAAUACUCAAACCAAAAUCAACCCCAAUACUUAGUCAUCAAACCAAAUACAUUAAUCCAUCAAAGAUACAGCUUAGGUACUUAUAAUCAAGGAAAUGCAAGAUGCCAAGUUCAUUCUGUCAGUAUUACACACAAAGAAAUGGCAACAUUCUCCUACUAUAUCCCAUCUAGUAAAUAGCAAUUGCAGAGGAUGCUGACAGGACUUCCUUGUGAAUGUGAAGAACCUCAUUACUAUUGCCAGAAGUUUCACAUGUUGAGGCUAAUAUUAUCCUCCAAAUUUAAAAAAAAAAAAAACACAGGCAAGAUCUAUUCAAUCUAAUGACAGUAUUUUACAAUGCCUUCAUAUACAUCACCAUUAACUUAAACAUGAUUCAGCUAAAUUUUCAUAAAGCAAUCUUAUCAAAAACAGUACACAGCAUGGUUUGAAAGUAGAUUAAAGCAAUUCAAACAUAAAAUUUAAGCUGAAACAUGUGCAGGGAUUUAUCACCAAGGGUCUAGUCUUUCCUUUAAAAUUCCCUUCCUCUUUCUCUUCUAUUAUUCCUUUUUUCCCUUAAUUUCUUUCUUGAAGAAGGAUGGGGAAGAAAUAGCAUCAUGCACCAAUCAAUUGCAUCUACAUGUAUCAAUUUCAUGCUUGUAAUCACCAAAAAUCUCAAUGUCUUGACUCGGCAGUGAACGUAGAGAAUUCGCACAAUUGUAUAUAAUGCGCCUCACAAACACAUCAAUAUACAGUUCGACUCAUGCUUUAUGAGUUUACGCAUAAAUAUAGAACUUAUUGAUGUAAAGUUGGUAAGACUCUAAAGAUGGCUUUUUUUACUUUAUCCCUUUUUUUUUAAAAAAAAACGUGAUAGGUGAGAGACAAGCACAAUUAAGAAGAUGAAAUAGCAUACCUCAGGGUUCAAAUCAUUAACCUUUUCAAUUGCAUCCUCCACAUUACCACACUGCACUGCCUUCUUAACUGCCAUCCGAUCAGUUAUAGUUGCCAAAUCAAUGUCAGCUAUAAAGUCAUAAGGAAAAGCAAAUCAUGCCAACUGAAAUCCUGAUAACAAAUGCAAUAUCAUGUAAAAUCAGUUAUCCUGAAGAAAUGAUAAGGAUACGUUCUGUCCCAGAUUCCUUUCGGAAUUUCUCAGCUGCAUCAACAUAACCCUCAGUCACCAGGAAGUUCAUUACCAAUUUAUUCAUGUCUUCUUUCCUAAUCUUUACAUCAUUGAGCUUUUUCUCCCACUCUUCUUUUGUUAUAAUUUUCUUCGAACUACCCUGUGAAAAGAAAAGUUUUAGAAAUAAAUUAGCUCCACGCUACCAAAAGAAAUAAGUAUUCCUGUUUGUGACACUGCACACUUCAAAAUUAUUCUAAAAAAGGCUAUCAGCACAAAAUAAAUAUAACUCUUUUAACCGAUUUCGCAGCUGCAAUGCCACUAGAAUCCUAAUCACGUAAAUUGUGAAACAAUACCACUGAAGAUGACACAAUUUGCAUAAAGUAACUGACAAGUUUGAUCUUCAGCUCCUAAUUUUGCACUGCUGAUGAAAGACAAAUGUAUCCAUUUUUUGACAAGUCUUUUUUUAACAGCUUUCUCAGAAUGGCAAGAACUAAAACAGGAACUGAUUUUGGCUGUUGAGAAAUCAAAACCUCAUUCUAGGAUGAGGAACAAAGGCUCUUAGUUUCUGGCACUUUAUCCAAUUCUAAGACAUCCAUUUCACCUAGAAACACAACACUGGUGGCAGAAAAUCAUAACCUUCAGCCCUUCAUCAUUAUUAACUAAUAUCUUAUCUCUCAACAGUACAUCUCGCUCUGCUGAGAAACCUGAUCGCCUUAAUAUAAUCCUAUUUAACAUUGUCGGGGCAGUCUAUUCAGGUCUUAUGUUUAUCAAAUCAAUCAUAGUUACUAUAUUGCAAAAAAAAAUUCAUGAACAAAUAGAUGUUCUUUAAACCAUUCUAUCUCACGCUUUUCAAAAUCUAGCAAAAACCUUCUGUCGCUUAACUCGUGUUUUCAUAGGGGAAAAAAAGGCGACUUUUUAAGAUUCUAGUAACUAUUCCUAGCAAAAUCCAAUCAUCUCAAGAAAGGAAUGAGAAACCCUAAUGUUGAUAAAUAUUAGCUACUAUGUCAUGCCGAUGUCCUUAAUCAAGACCUUAAUCAGACAUUCCAGCAACAAUUGAACAGCAAAAAGAUCAAGAAAACAACAACUCAUAUAUAAUAUAGAUAUAAAGGGUCAGCAAAAAAUGGAAUAACUUCUCAUAAUUUUCCGUUCAAGGUGAGUUGGAAGGAGGGAAAUAUGAGAAAUUUACCAUGGAUUCAAUCUCAGCGAGUUGGCCAAGUACAAACCAGAGCAAUGACAUCAAAAUUCGGAGGACGACUCCACCGCUAGCUUAAAAAUAUGGCAGCCGCUGUAAUUUUCUCCUACUUUCCUUUUAAUGUUUUUACAAUUUUUUUAACUGGUUAGAUUGAGUUAAUUUCAGUGACUGUGGCAUUUUGGUCUAUAUGUGUAAUUCGAAGUGUAUUCGGUACCCAACUGGAAGGAGAAAACCAGAAAAGGAAAAUAUAACACAAAAACUAUACAGUCGAUUUUUUACACAAAUUUAUUUGCUUAUAUUUAUAAGCAGAUUUUUAAAUUAUCUUUUUGUCUCAUAUAUAUCAUAUAAAAAAUAUAGAAUUAAUUACAUUUACCUCCCCUGAGAUUUGACCAAAUAACGAAUCGAUCCCUGAGAUUUGACCAAAUAACAAAAAGAUCCCUCAACCGUUAGUCUUUGCCGUUGACUGUUAGUGUUAAUUACAUUUACCCCCCUGAGAUUUGACCAAAUAAUGAAUCGAUCUCUAAAAUUUGACCAAAUAACAGAUUCCUCAUCCACACUAACUUCUGUCACUUAUAUGUAACGGAAAUAGCCAAAAGUUUGAAUAACCCUUCUUGAUUUCCAUCAAAUUUUUUACCUAUCGAUUUUUGUGUUUUCAGAAAAAAAUUUUGGUUAACAGAUAAAAUUUUGAAUCCAACAAAUUAUUAAUUUAUUUAACAGAUAAAAUCAGAGUAAAUUUUGAUAGACCUUGUAAUGCAAAAUUUGCCAUACACGUAUUUUGUAAUUUGGUGAAAUAGUGUGAUAAAUUUUGGAUUACAUGGGGUAAUACCCAUUAUCCCAUAAAAUACCAGUGCUUUACGACUUUUCCCAAUUAUAUGAACAAAGUACCUAUUUUUUCAAAAAAUAAUUUAUUUAAAAGAUAAAGUAAAAUUAAACUUUCUAGCGAAUAAGAAGGUUGAAAAUGUAGUACGCAUUUUUUCUUUCCAUAAUGUACCAGCUCCUUAUACUUUUCCUAUAUUAUAUAAAUGAAGUACCAGCUUUCUAUUGGCAUUUUACUCUAUUUAUUAGUAACCCAUUGUAAAACCAAACUAGCAGAAGGCUUUUCUACACAAAACACUUUGUCAUGGCCGAUUAAGUAGUUAAAGGAUAUUUGAGAAUCUGGUAAUGGUCUCAUUUUGAAAAUCAUGUCCGUCUCAUUUUUGUGGUCGAUUGAGUGAACCUUUACAUUGCUUCUAUAAAUUUUCUUUCAUCGCUCAAUUGUCUGUUUCCUUUUUUCACUCUACUUUUUUUUUCAUUCCUUUCUUUGCUUUUCACAUUUUUAUUUCUUUUUUGUUUUCUAAGCUUUUCUUCUUUCUUCAUUUUCUUUCUUUUGUUCCUUUAUGCGCAUAUUUUAUCAAGUUUGAUUAUUACAUGCUUGGUUUUUUUCUUUUAUACUGGUUAAAAACUGUUUUGUUUAAGUAAUAAACUCUUAGUUUAAUUCGUUAUUAUUGAAACCACCUUCGAUUUUUUAACGGUAAGUUUUCUCUAACUACAAGUUUUACAAAGAGGGUAAAUAUGAUAUUUUACUACUUCUAUUUAAGUGUCUUUGAUGAGAUUAUUUAAAAAGGAGAUACAUGUAAUAUCACCACACUACAGGGAUUUAAAAGUAGUUUGGUCAAACCACAAGGGAGAUAGAUGUAAUUAAUCCUUAAAAAUUUGAUGGAAAUCAAUAAGGGUUAUUUAGAUUUUUGGCUAUUUCCAUUACAUAUAAGUGACAGAAGUUAGUGUGGGGGAGAAAUAUGUUAUUUGGUCAAAUUUUAGGGAUCGAUUCGUUAUUUGGUCAAAUCUCAAGGGGGUAAAUGUAAUUAACCCUUACAGUCAACGGCAAAGACUAACGGUUGAGGGACCUUUUUGUUAUUUGGUCAAAUCUCAGGGAUCGAUUUGUUAUUUGGUCAAAUCUCAGGGGAGGUAAAUGUAAUUAACUCAAAAAUAUAUUAUAAUAUCUUUUUUCAAAAGAUUAUUUCAAAUAAUAAAAAACAUACUAUGUCAAGUGAAAUACUCAGGAAAAAGUCUAUGCUAGGAUAGGACUUCUUUGAUGCUUCCCUUGUAUUUGCAAUUGUUGAGAAUAGUUACUAACCCCAGUUGAUAAUGACUGACUAUUUCUAAUAUUGAAAUCGCGUUGCCUAUAUGGGAAUGAGAAGUGAUUUAUAGUCUCUUGUAGGAUUGCAAACGAAUCGAACCGUUUGCGAGCUGAUCGAAUCCGAGCUUCAACUCGAGUUCAAAGAUCUUUAAUUCGUUAGUUCACGAAUCAGCUCGAUUAUAUAUAUAUAUAUAUAUAUAUAUAAUAGUAAAAUUACAUAUAUAUUCUUAAUAUUUUAUUAUUUAUUAAGAAAAAUAUUUUAUUUUAUUCAUUUUUUAAAAUAAAAUAAAUAAUUUUAUUGUUUUAAAUUCGAGCUCGACUCAAAUUCGAGUCGAACUUUAGAUUUUGAGUUCGUCGAGUUCGAAUUCGAACUUCAUAAAACUAAGUUGAGACUCGAUUUGAUUGGAACAAAAUUCGAUUCGAUUCGACUCGUUUACACCUCUAAUUCUAGAUGUAUACCCUGACCCUCUUUUAAUAGGUCUUUUCGGAAAACUCUAUUUAUUCUGAUAUGGAUGGCAGACAAACCUAAUAUUUCUUGAUUUUGACAGGAAUUCUUACAAGCGUUAUGAAUGUUGUUUUUAUCUACUAUUUUUUAAAAUUAAUCAAGUUGUUAAUGACUAGAUGAAAGAUAACGUGUGAUAUUAUUUGUCAUUUUUUGAACUUUGAUUUUUAUCAUUGUCGGAGCUAUUUUCAUUUUGACUACCCAAAGACAUGUUUAUGGUUAGUUAUCUUCGAAACUUGUUUUACUUUAACUAUGUACUUUUCAACAUGACUAACCCUAAACAUUAUAAUUACCAAUAUAACAAUUAUUGUGUGGAAGAAACUUAAGAGAUUAAAGUUUACUUUAGUAAUGAAAAAUUCAUAUAAAAUUUAUUUAUUAUCAAUAUUAUGCUUUUUGUUAUUGUACACACAUUGAGUGUGCAAAAAACACUAGUGUCUAUGCAAUAUAUAAAAUCUAGAAGUUAGUGUAAAUAGUUGUUGUCAUCGUUUGAACUUCUAAUUAUACCAUUAUAAAAAAAAUUACCCUACUCACUUAAUCACAUAUUGUCAACAUCAAUACAUAUAGCUACCUAAGUAUUUUGCAUUAACUAUUCAUGAGUACUCCCAAAUAUUGUAACUUUGCAAUCCAAACUUCUUUACAAAAACUAAUAUAAAUAUUAUUUACGUUAAAAAAUAAAAUUAUGCAAAAUUUAUUCAUUUUAACGAUUUUUAAAUGUGUUGAUCUUAUAAAUACUGUCAGUGCAUGCACUAUUACGAUUCGAUGUAUUUCAUGUAUGCAAAAUUUAUAUUUAAAAUAUAAUUAAUGUUAAUUAUCAUACAUUCAAAGGUGAUAAUGUGUUUGGAUAGGAGAUUAUUUGAAAUAAUUAUUAUAGCACUUUUUGUGAUAUAAUGUAUGUGAGAUAAAAAAAUGAUUGGAAAGAUAAAAUAUGUGUUAAAAAUUGUGUUUGUGGUGCAAACAAAUAAUUUAGAGCCAAAUAAUGACUAUCCAAACAUACUUAUUUAACACUAGUACAAGUUGGAAGAAGAUACAUAGGAUGCAGUCAUGCAACUAUGAGACAAUUUCAUAAAGUGAAAAAUUUUCAAGCCUGUCCCUUCGGGGCCAUCCGAUAAAAUUUUGCAAGCCUAGUUUGUAAUUUUUGGGCAAUUGUUGUUUUGAUCAUGGUGACAGCCCCAAAAUAUGGUAGUCUAAUCCCACGUUAACUUCUCUCAAGAGUACUACUACCUAUCAUUAAGUAUUGUCUAUUACUCCAAAAAUAACUAUCUUAGAGACAUGAAAUCGCAACCAUGACGUAAAACACAUACUACUAAUUAGAAUCUAACACCUAUAAUCCAUCAAGUCACCCAUAAUUGGUGCUCAAACAUUUAUUUACCAGUAAUAAACGGCGCACACAUAUACGCUCAUUGUUUCAAUCCCCGGGUUGACUCGACUGGUGCUGGGGGUGCCUCCUUAGGUUCUGGUACCGUGUGAUCGCGGUUCGAUCCCUGUUAUCUUCUUGUGUCUUCUGGGGGGUGGGGGCACAAGCGGAGUGGGAAUAGUCGGGUCCGGAAAUAUAAUCCGUCGAAUCCUGGAUACCCACUAUGUCAGAAAAAAAAAAUAUAUAUAUAUAGGCUCAUUGUUUCAACUCAUGAACGACCUAAGUCCUUUUUAACGUGAUUUGAAUAUUUUGUCCUAAUUGUACUGUUACUAAAAACAAAUAGUACAAUGAUUCUCAUCAAUCGUGAUUGAAGAAAUUUAAUAGUCUGUACGCAUUUGGUGCACUUAUUCCCUUUCUUGUUUCCAUAUCUUAUUAUAUUUGAUCAUUUAUUCAAGUUUGUAAACUAAUGGAAUUCAAUUAAGCUACUUGUUAAGUUUGCUUGAUUGAAGUUCGAAUUCGAGUUUGUAUUAACCAAGUCUAAAUUGAGCUCAACUAGUUUGAAUAAUUCUUUGAGUUGGAGUGGAGUGUGAAUAUCUGGUGUGAGAAAUUUCAUUAUAUAUACAUACAGGUCAAAUGGUCAUCAAAAUAACUGCUUUGGACAGGUUUUGUUCAAUUCAAUCUCUACACAUGAUAUUAAAAUCGACAUAUAAAAAGUGACAUGAGCCUUAUAUUGUUUUGCUCAAAUCAUGACCGUGAACCUUUCUGGACUGCAAUCAUCCUUGCCCAUCUACAUGCAUACAGAUACUUGCACAGUGUUUAUGUAAACUUUUGAAGUUUUUAAUUUCUUUAUUAUACACAUACAUCCUUUCUGGCUUGGCCUUGUUUGGAUUGUGAUUUUUCGGAGAGAAAUUUUUACAUUUUUCAUGAAUAAAAUUUUCAAUCACAUUUUUUAAACUCAUAUAAAUCAUAUUUUUCUAUAAAAACUCGUAAAAAUAGCAAUCCAAAUGGCAAGUUUUAAUGAGAAAAAUGCAGUUUUGGUAUCUCGACUUUAACAGAUGAGCAGUUUUAGUUAUCAAACUUUGAACGAAAACAAAUCUGGUACCUUAACUUUCAACUUUUGAGCACAGUUAAUACUCUUGACGGUUUUUUUUUUCCCCAAAUUACUACUUGAAAGAGUCGCGUGAUAGUUAUAUGUCUAGCAAUUAUUAAUAAAAAUUACCAAAAAAUGUAAAAUAUCCUUUUGAUAAAAUUAUUUGUUUUUAAACUUAGUAUUUAGUGUUAGAAGAAUAUUUUAUUUGAUAAAAUUAUUAGUUCUAGGAUAUUUUAUGCGACACAUAGUGUCAGAAGAAAAUUUUACAUUUUUUUGAUAUUUUUUAUACAAUAGUUGCCGGACAUAUGGUUAUCAAAUAACUUUUUUUGACAGUAAUUUGGAAAAAAUCUGUCAAGGGUACUAAGGGCCUAUUUGUAAGGCCUGUUUUUUAUUAAGUUUUUAUUAUACUAGUUUUUUAACAACUUGUGCUACAGGAACCUUAAAAACUUAUCAAAGUUUUUAACAUACACACUUAAAAUAUCCAAAACACAAAAAAAAAAAAAAAUCCCUUCCCCUUUUCUUUUUCAUCCUCUCCCACCACCACCUCCGUCGCCAACUCCGGCGCUAAUUUCCGGUGCCGGUGCCGGUCUUCUUUUUUUUCCCAUUUUUUCCCUCUCUCCCUCUUCCUCCCCUCUUGUCUUUUUUUCUCUCUGCGUCUCCCCCAUUUCCUCUCCCACUUCUCUGUGAAAAAAAAAAGAAAGAAGAGAAAGAUAGUGAGAAGCGAAAAGAGGAACAGGGGAGGUGGGGGGUGGCGGGGGGGGGGGGGAAGGCGGCCACUUUUUUCUCUCUGCGUCUCCCCCAUUUCCUCCCCCACUUCUCUGUGAAAAAAAAAAGAAAGAAAAGAAAGAUAGUGAGAAGCGGAAAGGGGAACAGGGGAGGCGGGGGAUGGCGGGGCAAAGGUGGUGGCGGGGGGAGGGGGAAGGCGGGAAGGGGUGGUGGGGGAGGGGAGGAGAAGGGGAAAGGGAGGAGAGGGGUGGCGGGAGGUGGCAUUGGUGGAGUUGCUGCUGGGGGUGGCGGAGGUAACGGGGAAGGGGAGGGGAAAGAAGAAGAAAAGAAAAAGGAAAGAAAGAAAAAGAAAAAGAAAAAGAAAGGGAAAGAGAAAAAGAAAGAAAAAAAGGAAAGGAAAAAAAAAGUUUUUCGCUUUACAAAAACUUCUACAGUAUACUACAGUAAAGUUUUAGACAAACUCCCAAAAAACUCAGGUUCCAAAUAGGUCCUAAAUGUGCUAAAUGGUUGAAAAAUUAGAUACUAGAUUUGUUUUAUCCAAAAUUUGGAGAUUAAAAUUGUUCAUGUGCUAAAUUUUGAAUACCAAAAGUGCAUUUUCUCGGUUUUAAUCUACAUGGCUGCCCUGUCUGUGUCCUAGUCCUCCUAAUACUUCACUUCUCGUGUUGGUUUACGAGUAUAAUCCAUCCAUAUCCGUAUGCUUCACUCACAAGGAUCCACCUCCUUUUUUUCACACACUUACACAAACUGCACCAAAUCUGUUUCCCAAAUCCUUAUAGGCCAAAAGCUUCGACCCGGGCAACACGCGCACACAAUAACCCCUAAAGUCUCCGAUUCCAACUCCAAUUUUCCCACGCUUUUCACUUAAAUCGCUUCGACGGACGGAUUGAUUCGAAAGACUUUUACGAGUUCAUCCUACGCCCCCCACAAACUUUCUCCGCCUCCUGACCCACGCCCCCACAGGAAAAAGAGAGAGAGAGAGAAAUUUAAACGAAAAGGAAAAAAAAAACACGCAGUCCACACACACAAAAAAACGCACAACAUACAAGCAAAAGCUAAAGACCGGUGGUGGCUUCACUGAAACCCCAGCGAAAGUUCUGGCAAGCAACUUUCCACCUGACUCUAUUAGUAUGUUUUUCACAUGCGAAGAAUUUUUUGGGUUCAAAUUAUAGGAGGAGGAAAGUUGACCGUGGAAUGGAAACACGUCGUCGUUUUCGAGGAGGGGAAGACUAGGGUUUCUUUUCCAUUAGGAUCUUUAAUUUUGAAUGAGUGUAGUAAUUGAAUUGAGAUAUGUUGAUGGCAGACGACAGAUCGAACCUUUGGUCCUCAGAGGAUUAUUCGCUGGAAGCUGAUGAUCUUCGAGACGAUCUUACAAUUGAUAUUGGGACGAUCUUGGAUAUAUUGAAUGAGAAUCCCGAUUCUUCUGAGGUGAAUUUUGAUCAACUCUAUUGCUUCUUGUUUAUUCAGUUGUAUAAACACGUCAAGUUUAUGUUGGAGCGGAGUUUUUCUGUGCCGAAUUUGUACAUUGUGGUAAAGUUUUAGAAUCAGGAGAUGGUUUCACCAUUUUUUUGAUGUGGAGUUAGUUUAAAUUUUGCUAGAACGGUGCUAGCUACUAGUAGAUUUUUAGGAACUUACUGGCCCGUAGAAGUUGAAAAUCUUUUUGGGCCUUUAUUUUGGGGAAGUUUUUGUUUUGAUUAUGUUUACUUCAAUCUGAACGAGCUUAGUUUGGCGAAUCCACUGUAAAGGGUUUUUAUAAUUUAGUGAAUUGUUGUAAAUGGUGGUAUAAUGUGCAUUAUGUGCUUCAAUGAGUAUUUUCUUUGGUAAAGCAUGCAUGUACAUUGUGAUCUGUGAACAGACUUGUCUGAUAUUUUUUAUGGAAAAUUAAUAACAGCUAUUGUUCUUUAUGAGUCUGAUGGUUGCACUCGUCAUUAUACCGAUAUGGGUCGUGGCUUUUAUUGGAUUGUGGCACCAUGUCUAGUGAAAGGAGAUUGAUUGGGCAGGAAGUAUAGGAAGAUUUACCUGGAAAGGUGGGCAAUAGCUGGCCAAUUCUUUUUCUUUUUGAAUACUUCCUUCAUCAGUAGUACCCCACUUUUUUCUUUGGAAGGAGUGGAGGGAGGAUUAGAGUGGAGAGAUGGUAGCUUAUAUUUGGGUUGUGGAGGAAGUCACAAUAGUGGGAGGAAGUGGCAACUAUGGAAACUAAUAACAAUCAGGGGAAAAAGACCAUCUUAGAAAGGGAAUAGAUGCUGCGGACAUGAUGAGUGUUCUGGACCAACAAUGUUAUAUCUUGCUCCCUGACCUGUUGCUUUCUCUCUCUCUUGCAAUUUAAAAUUUGAAAGGCAGGCUAUAUUCAUUAGUUAUCUGCUUUUGAUUCAUCACAGGCAUAUUUGGUUUUAAAACAUCUACUGUAAUUUUCAGGGAAAGAUAGAAGACUUGUCAUUCAAUGAUGCGUCAGAAGGUUAGUCACCUUGAUUUCGAAUUGGGAACGUCGAUUAUGGUGGCAGUUCUGCUUCUUCAUUUUUUCAAUUUUCUAGUUAUCAAUUCUGCUCUCAGGAUUCAAUUGCUGCAUGUGAUAGCCCACUUAUUAUAAUAUUUGAUGCGCCUAGUUUAUUUGUCUCUUAAAUGAAAUUCUCAAUUAGGGUUGUUUCUGAAUCCAUUAGGGUUACCAAAUAAUGAAGGAGCCCUCUUACCUAGGGAUCACUUAUCAGGUCCUACAUCUUUCUCCCCUUCAUCUGAUAUACGGAAUGGGAUUUCGGAUGCCUCCUCUGAUUAUACUGAGAAAUCAGGUGUUUCUGAUGGUUCAAAGCGUGAGUCGAGAUUGCAGCUUGGCUCUCCAGUACAUAGUUCCUCUGGGAGUUUGACUGAUUGGAUACCAUUUCAGGGCCAUGGCCACGGCAAUUUCUGCCUGGAUAAGGAUAUUGUUUCACGUAAUGCUUCGUCAAAUAGUCUUCAAGAUUGUAGAGAAACACAUCAGGAGUUACGCAAUUGUAGUGAGACAUUCAGUUUUCCUGCUGGGUACUUCAGUAAUCAUGUUGCUGAUAAUAGAGAGGUUUCUAAUGUUGAUCAGCGGAAUCAUGAGCUUGAAUUACAGCUUGCAUGUUCGGAAGGAGUUGACUGUGAUGAUGGUAUGUGACCUAUCUGCUAAUGGAAUGGAAUAGUAUCCAUAGCUCUAUUUGCUUUGCUUAGUUUGUCAUCUAUCAUCUGCUUCUGUUGAUGACUAGGAUGCAUUACUUCCUUUUUGAAUUUGAUCAUGAUUAACUUAGUUUUUGUAAUUCUUUCAGAUUCUUAUGAAACCCCAUCAAACAAAAAGAAUAUGUUGGAGGUAUCAGUGGCAUCCAGUAUGGAUGAAUUUUCUGGGAGCAGUAUGUAUAAUGGUAGAUUGGCAGGAUAUGGUGACCAAUAUUCAAACGCUCCGGUUUUUGUCAAUCUGGUUGAUCCGUCAUUUUCUGCCUUUUCAAAUGAGUUUAGUCCAUGUGAUUUUGGUUUCAAUUUGUUACCGAACAAUGAUAAUAAGAUGAUUGGCAUGAUGAAGGAAAAAGUUGAGCAUUUGACUCAGGACACAAGCUCAAAUUGUGUGAUGUCCAAUCAAGUGCAGAAGUUGGAUGAUGCAGACUGGGAGGUUCUUGCACCUGGGGAUCUGGCUGGCAAGGGACUUAGUGCUGCAAGUGUGGGUGUAAACUAUGCUUCUUUAGGCGAUGGGGGUUCAUUUUCUAGAUUGAGUAAUGAGUUCUUCAUGAAGCAAGAGAAUGAUGCAAAACUGAACCGGCUAAUUGCUUCUGAGGUCAUUGCAUUCCAGCAUGGCAUUGAUAUAACCAGUAUGAAGUCUCCUGCUGACACUUUUGGGGUGUCUUUUGGUCAAGGGCGAAAGCCAUCUGAGUCAGGUUAUUGGAUGUCUAACUCAAGUGAGAACCAUGAAUUUUCCGUAGAAGAUGAAAGAAAUUUAAUCCAUGAAUCUAAAAGGCCCAGGCUGGGUCUUGAUGAGUAUGAUGGGACUGCAUCUGGAAAUCCCAGUUCAGUUUUUCAUGAUCAAUAUCUGGAUCUACUGAACUCAGAGCCAUCAGGUGUGCCAGUAUCCAGUACAAUUAAGCAUCAAUUUCUUCAUGCAAAUGUAACGAAAGAGAGUUGGCCCAGUUUAAGUGGCCAAGAGGUUCGCAGUGAUUCUUCGGUUCAAACAUGCAGCACUGAUGAUGAUGAAGAUGUAUGUAUUUUGGAGGAUAUUAGUGGACCGGCACGGCCAUAUUUCUCUGCUUUUAAUGGGAAGUCAUUUUUUGUUCCAAAGAGUACUGUGAUUUGUAAUUCCUUUAAUUCUGUUGGACUGGGACACAAGAAGGCAAAUGGUGAGCGCUUUGUAUUUCGAGCUGCGUUGGAGGUGAGUCCUGGUAGCAUGAGCAGUUUCUUGGAUUUGGUUGAACUUAUUGAUCUAUUGGAAGUAAACUGAUUCCUUUCUGACAAGAAAGCGGUGGUAAAAUGUGGUUAUUCUUGACAUGUCCCCUUUCCUAGGAUUUUAGCCACAAACGAAAGCACAAAAAACACGAGAUAAUUAGUCCCUCUUCAACUUUCGUUUUGAUGCCUCUUCUUUCAACUUUCUUCUUCAUUUGGUCUCUCUAGAUCCAUCAUUUGGGUUUCCUUAACUGCAGUGUCUCUUUGCAAUCGUGACAAGGUUUUGUUUCUAGAAAUUUCCUUAUGUUAUAAAUUUCUAUCACAACAGAAACAACGUACUGCUUCCAUGCGAAUGUGGCUACCAGCAUGGUCACAGAACUUACUCUGUAAUUUGUCCUUGUAUUCAUCAGUUCAGCUUUAACAAUUUUAUCAGAAGUAUUACAAGUUCGUAUUAGAUUAACCUUAUGGAAACUUGAAAAUUUGAAGUAAACACUACAAGUAUUUUCAACACUCACUAAUUUUAUGGGACAAAAAGGGAGUAGAGGUAUUCUUUAAUUUAGGAGCUCUUAGUUCCUGGCUACUGUUAAUAUUAGAAGACGCUGUCAAUUUUUGGCUUUUUACAUCAAUUUGAACUCAAUUCUUCACCAUUGUUAUGUUGAACCAAACACGGACAUGGUUAGGUUCAAUCUUAGUCUGGUCCCAACAGAAUCAUUCAAGGAUUCUGUAGGAUUAAAUUCAUAUAAUUACAAAAUUAUGCCCAGUGUAUUACUUUACUUUUGGGCCCAACAAAUGAGGCCUUAGGAUUUGGGCAUGUUGUCCUAGCUCACAUACAUGUUGACUAGGAUGUUAGAAUGAGUUAUCUGAAUCAUUAAGAAGCAUUAGCAUUAGUAGUUUUGUUUAAUUUUAGCUAAUUAGUUGGUAGAUUAAUCAAUUGGCAUUCACAUACUGGAAGGACUGUUGGAGUUGGAAACUAUACAUGGAGCAUGUGGAGCUAGGCAUUUUCUCAAAUUUGUUCCUUUACUUGUGAACAUAGGCAUUAAAGAAAUGCAAGUGCACUUGUUUCCUGCUAUCCAUAUUACUAUCUUCAUAUGCUGCUGAUAAUUGUACAUAGGGAUCUUCCUGGACUGCUUUCAAUAUUGUGGAAUAGUAUCAUGACUUUGUGGCUUUUAUUGUAGGAUCUUUGUCAGCCGAAAUCAGAAGAUGCUCCACCUGAGGGCCUUUUGGCAGUUCCCCUUUUAAAACAUCAGGUUGGAUGCUUCUUUCUUUUCAUCUGUAUGGGAUUUUUUCCUUUAAAGAUGCAUGGACUAAGAGACCUUCUGAUGUGGACUAGAUAGGCCUCAUGAACCAAAUAUCUUAUUUUUUCCCCCUGCUUGUCAAUUUCUUUUUGUUCCUAAAAUCUGAUUAGUGUUCAAACUCUGCUUUGGUGUGUCACUUAACAAGUGGCUUUUGUUGACUUUUGGUCAGUGUAUUGCUUUUUUGGGAUGGUUAAGAAGGAGAAUGGUGAUUUAUGCUGUAUCAAUUUCUAUUUUGUUGUUCGAAAAAUUUAGCAGUUUAAUACUCUUAUGAGUUGAAGAAAUGUCUGCCCAGACAUAGUUGAUUUCUUUUUCCUGCUUGUCAAAUAUCCACACGUUUUUCUGCCUAAAAUCCGAUUAGUUCUCUGUUCAAACUCUGGUUUGGCGUAUAACAUAACAAGUGGCUUUUGUUGAUUUCUGUUCAGCGUAUUGCUUUAUCGUGGAUGGUUAAGAAGGAGAAUGAUGCUGUACGCUGUUCUGGUGGUUUUCUUGCUGAUGAUCAGGUUGCCUUUUGGGGUUCAAUAUCUGGUUUCUGUUAUUUUUCGCCCUUCUGCCUUCGGUGCUUGGGGUGAUGUUGCCAUGAGGCUGUUCCUCAUUUUGACUUUGGCUGGAUGAAAAUUUUUGCAGGGACUUGGGAAAACAGUUUCAACAAUUGCACUUAUACUAAAAGAGAGGUCUCCAUCUUCUACAAAAUCUAAUGGGAAAGAAAGUGAGGCAGAGACAUUAAAUUUGGAUGAUGAUGAUGAUGAUGAUGAUGAUCCUGGGUCUGAUGGUGGGAAACCAAACGAAGGUGUUGAGUCUUGUCAAGUGAGUGGAAGUUUUUGUGGGCAAAAGAUGGCUGCUGUUCAUGCAAAACGUAGACCAGCUGCUGGAACCCUCAUAGUAUGUCCAACAAGUGUCCUUCGUCAGUGGUCCGAGGAACUCCAAAACAAGGUCAGCAGUAAAGCUAACGUAUCUGUUCUGGUCUAUCAUGGAAGUAAUCGAACAAGAGAUCCUUAUGAACUGGCCAACUAUGAUGUUGUGCUAACAACCUAUUCAAUAGUAAGCAUGGAGGUGCCAAAACAACCCCUGGUGGAUGAAGAAGAGGAUGAGACAAAGUCACUGACAGAGCUGUCAUCUAGUAAAAAAAGGAAGUAUCCUCCAAGUGCUAGUAAAAAAUCAUCUAAAUCCAAGGACAAUUUGAAUGGUGAAUCGCUGUGUAAUCGUCCGCUUGCUGCUGUGGGCUGGUUUAGAGUUGUAUUAGAUGAGGCUCAGUGCAUUAAGAAUCAUAGGACUCAAGUUGCUAGGGCUUGUUGGGGUCUGCGUGCUAAGCGUAGGUGGUGCUUGUCAGGAACACCUAUGCAGAAUGCAAUUGAUGAUCUUUAUAGUUACUUCAGAUUUCUGAAGUAUGACCCAUAUUGGAUUUACAAAGAAUUUUGCUCUGGAAUAAAGGCCCCGAUUAAUGACAAUCCAUCAAAUGGGUACAAAAAGUUGCAGGCUGUGCUCAGGACCAUCAUGCUACGUCGCACCAAAGGUUAGAAUAAGCUUCUCUAAAUGCUUAAUAUGACCUUAUCCUUUUUGGAUUCUGAAUUAUUAAUACUGUUCGUUUUUCAUCAUUUCUUAUGACCUUUACCUUUUCUAGUGGUUAGCGUUAGCAAAUAUAUGACUGAUGGAACAAGUUAUGCACUAUAUGUAUCCUCAUGGCUCAUGGAACUUUUUAGCUGUCGAUUUACUACUGUGAGCUUUAUUCAUGUUUUCUUGCACCGACAAAUUUCCUUAGAGCUUGGUAUCAAUCUUCUACAUGAUUGCAUACAAAAUGAAAUAGUUUGAAAUUGUGAAGGAACUUACAUGGUAAGCAGUAUUCCUCUUGUUAUCUUUCUGUUACUGAGAUAUCUUGUAGGACAGAACAUAUGUGGGUAGAAAUGACCUAUGAUUGCCUCGUCUAGGGCAACAUGUAUCAAGCAUUAACUAGGAUAAACAAAUUAUCGAAAUCAUUCAGUUUCCCUUUCUGGUAGGCACCCCUGUCCUUUUCAGUUCAAAUGGCAUACAUUCUUUGAUUGACACAUGUUCUACAUUUGUUUAGUUGAAUAAAUGGCCUUGAUAGUUUCUGAGAAAAUUUCAACCGUUAUAAUUCUACUUCAGCAAUGUUUAGAUAUCUGGAUCUGGGUGCAUACAUUGCUGUAUCUUUUCUUGGUUUGUCCAUCAACUAACUGAGCUCAAGUCAUUGUCUUAAAGGACCUUGGGAAAGAAAAGAUGGUUGCAGGUUGGGAUGGGGGAACUCAAGAUACAUCCUACUAUAAUUUUAGUCAUUUUUGUAUUUUGUACCCAUUUGUUCUGAAGCGGGAGGAUAAUGGGUUGCUGUUAAUUAGAUAUGAGAGUCCGACUCGGGCUUCUUUGUUUGUGGAAACCUUUUUGCCUACCAGUUGUUGGUAACUUGUUUUAGUUCUUUUGUUCACUCUGGUGAGAAAGAAACUACAGGAUUUUCAAUGGGGCUCGUAUUAACAUAGAACAAGUCAAUGGUGGUCUGGAAGACUCUCUAAUUUUGGAUUCAGGAUAUGUUCUAAGAGAUUGCUUAUUAUUUGCUGAUUUUUGUGGCCAAGCACUUAGAGAUGUCAUAGAUAGGUUUUCUUUUGUAGUGGGCUUCCCCUGGUCCUCCGAACCCCCAGCCCCGGGUGCUUUUACUAAUAAAUUAACUCUCUUAAAAAAAUUGUUGUAGUUCUAUGUGUAGCUACUACACUCUGUUGUGUAGUUCUAAUAAAUUAACUCUCUUAAAAAUUGUUAUGGUUCUAUGUGUAGCUACUACACUCUGUUGUGUAAAUAUCUAGAGUAUCAUUGCUAUCAGUUUGUAGUUCUAUAUGACUCGUCUCAUUUUUGCUGAUGAUGUUUGUCAAGGUACUAUUCUUGAUGGAGAACCAAUCAUCAACCUUCCACCCAAAACAAUUAAACUGUGUAAAGUGGAUUUCACGCAGCAGGAGCGAGAUUUUUACUGCAGACUUGAGGCUGAUUCACGUGCUCAGUUCGCAGUAUGUGUCCAUUUAAUUUUGCAGUUGUGUGGAUUGGUGGUUCUGCAAUUCUUGAGUUUUAAUUUUCAGAUUUCUAUUAUACCAGGAGUAUGCAGCUGCUGGGACUGUAAAGCAGAAUUAUGUUAACAUAUUGUUGAUGCUUUUGCGACUUCGACAAGCCUGUGACCAUCCUCUUCUUGUUAAGGGAUUCGCUUCUGGUUCAAACUCAAUAUCCUCUCUUGAUAUGGCCAAGAAAUUACCACAUGAGAAGCAAAUUCAUCUUCUGAAUUGUUUUGAAACUUCCUUAGCAAUUUGUGGUCUAUGCAGCGUAUGUUGUUAAUCCGUGAUCCUUCUUUAUGGUUUACAUAUAUAAUGCUCUUUCACCCUUUUUUUGGAUUGGUAAAUUUGGGUUUACUGAUAUUCCUUUUGGCACUUGUCUUUUUUUGUACUUAUGUAUAUCCUAUUUUACGUGGCCCAUUCCUCACCAUCUUCCAUUGUCAAGAGAAAAGCAGCAUUAGUAUUGGCAUUUCUACAGUGAUUUUUUUUUGGUGUCUAACACAGAUUUUGCUUAAAUAAAUAUUUGAAACUGAAAACAUUUUUGGCAAUUGAGUUUGGAAAUCAUGAAUCUUAGUGUGGGUCCAUUCCAGCUCUUUGCUCUGAGCAUGAUGAAGCUUUUUGGCUAGCUCUUUUGAGAUGUUUCAUAAUCUGUUUAUGUCAUAUCAGCUGUGGCAUAUUGUUGAUGGUCAUGCAUAGCAAUUACAUUUGGGGAGCAUUUAGGUUCAUCCAUUUGAAAAACAAAGACCACGUGCACGAACUUUUAUCAAACCUUCGGAUCUUCUGCAUCUACUUUUGGUUAAGAAUUGUUUCUGUCUUCUUUGUUUUUUGUUUUUGUGUUUUUUCUUUCAUAUAUUUUAUUGCUAUUAUUAUUUUAUAGUUCUUCGAAUUGGUUGUUGUACCCUAUAGUUUUAAAUGAUGUCUCAAGCAGCAAAUGAAGAGCGCAUUAUGGAUUUUAAGAAUCUGUAUGUAAAAUAUGGUAUGUAUUAGUGGUUAAGUAAACAUUAUUGUACAGUCUCCAGUGAGGUUCUUAAAUCUAGUUUUUCUAUUUUUAUUAAAUUCUGCCUAUUGAGAUGCUUUUUAAUUUUAUCUUUAUUCUGAUCAAAGCAAAGGAUUUAGUAGUCAAUUGUUUGGAUUAGUGUCUUGUAUGAGUUGCUUACAUUAUUUUCUUCUAAAUUGUAAUCCAUUAUUAUAUGUUGUUCUUUUUCCCUCUCUGGUUGAUUGAUAUGUUUCUGUUUGCUUGCAAUCCCUGCUAUGGAAAUUGCUUCAAUUUUUUCUUAGCAUUACACAAUAUAGAAAUCAUUUUUCAGUAGUGCAUAAAGUUUAAGUUUUUCUUUUUCUUUUCUUUUAAACAGUUAACGUUUUUAGUAUGAUAGUUGCUCUUUCCAAGAUGGAGAACGUUUCCUAUUAAAAUGUUUAGGAACUUGAUGUCCUAAUUAAAACAUUUUAUAAGUUUCUAUGAUGCUGAGAAUUAGGCUGAGGAAGACAUGAUAUGGAGAAAUCAUUUGCUUCUUCCCAGAGAAAGAAAAGAAGACAAGUUACAUUUUUUUUAAAUCUUUGUUUAUUUGUUGGUGACAGUUCUUGGAAUUCUGUAUAGUUAAUGCUUUUUCUUUUAGUUUAAAAUUUUUGCCUAAGCAUUUAGGCUAGAUAAUUCUAUACUCUCCUCUAUAGUGUUUCAGUAAUUUUUCUUGAAGUGUAAUUAUACAUCUGCUGUUGAUACUCAAGUUAAUUAUUUUUUCAUAGUUUCUUGCUGUUUCAGAUUUGUUAUUUAUCAUAGUUCAUUAUCAUGUAGGAUCCCCCUGAAGAUGCUGUUAUAACUAGCUGUGGACACGUUUUCUGCAAUCAGUGCAUAUGUGAGCAUCUAAGUGGUGAUGACACCCUUUGCCCAACUGCAAAGUGCAAAGCUCAUCUUAACAGAUCUUCUGUAUUUUCUGUAGCAACACUAAGAUGUUCUCUAUCUGAUCGGACUACUUUGGAAAGCAAUUCUAAUUGCUCUUUUGAUUGCGCGUAUGAUUCUUCAAAAAUUAAGGCUGCUAUUGAGGUCCUGCAGUCAGUGACUAAAAGACAGAAUUUUUCACAAGUUAGUUCCUCAAGUUCUGUUGAGGAAGGAAUUUCUAGUGUAGAGAAUACGUCAAGUGUUCAUUCAGGAGGAUUGCAUGGGAAAACAUGUAGUAAAGAAGAAAUAAAGGGCAUGGCUGAAUCUUCUUGUGGUUCAGUUACAGUAGUGGGGGAAAAAGCAAUUGUGUUCUCCCAGUGGACGAGAAUGCUUGAUUUACUUGAAGGUUGUCUGAAGGAUUGUUCCAUUCAGUAUAGGAGACUUGAUGGAACAAUGUCCGUUGUUGCCAGAGAUAAAGCUGUGAAAGAUUUUAAUACUCUUCCUGAGGUUUGUUGAAAUGUUGGCAUAUUUCUGAACUGUGGUUUCAUAUUUUGAUUAUUCCUAGCUUUAAAACUCAAACUUCUGUAGGUCUCUGUAAUGAUUAUGUCUUUGAAAGCUGCAAGUCUUGGACUGAACAUGGUAGCAGCAUGCCAUGUUCUUCUUCUGGACCUUUGGUGGAAUCCAACAACUGAGGAUCAAGCGAUUGACCGUGCUCAUAGAAUUGGGCAGACCCGUCCUGUUACAGUUUUCCGUUUGACUGUGAAAGAUACAGUUGAAGACCGCAUUUUGGCCCUUCAGGUAUUGACUUAUUUUUAAGUUGUAGGUGUUUCUUAGAUUUCAUCCCAUAUGUUAAUCUUCAACAUACAAGAUAGUCAUAAUUGCUGGAUUGAAACUUACUUGAGCGGUUAAUUUUCUGUGAACCAUUUCUCUUGUGUUGAACAGGAUUUUCUUUUUUCUGGUUGGUUGCAAAAUUUUUGUUAAGUCUGUACAAAAUCAAACCUUUGCCCAGUGUUUUUGUCCAUCAUAAAUACCAUUUUGUAUCUAUUCUAUGGGGUGAAUUAUAGUAACCUUCUCUGGCGUUUGUGAUCAUUACAUGCAGCUCCUAUGAGGUUCCUUCAGUACACUUUGAAUUGCUUUAAGUUCCAAGUCAUGUUGCAUAAAUCUCAUAUAUACAUUGAUAUCCACAAAUUAAGUCCUAAAAAUACUAGCAUUAAAUGUGACAUUCUAUGCUGGUGAUCAAAUUUAAGUGUCGGAUUAGGAGAUAGAACAAUAAUUUGAAGAAGUUGAUGUGGGAGGGAUUCAAAAAAUCUUUGCAAAGGUGAGUUCGACUUGCUGUCUUUUUUUUUUUAAUCAUCUAGAAAAAGAAAUAUGAGACUGGUACUUCAUGCUAUAAUAUAAUGAUGGAUCUGUGAAUCUCUCGCUUGGUAUGAACUAAAACGCCAGGUUUAUGUUUGGGAUAUGCUCUGAAACUCUUUAACCUUCUAGUGUUGUUUCACGCCCUUGGAGCUUUAUUAACAAUGCUGCCUAUUUUUUGUUGUGUUGGGGCACUUGUAAAGCCUUGCUGGAUAAAUCUCAAAUGUCUAGUUGUCCAAUAAUUGAUCUAUAUUUUUAUUGGUAUGACUUUUGGUAUUCCUAAUGAGUGGAGACCACCUGUAUUUUCCAGCAAAAAAAGAGAGAGAUGGUUGCCAAUGCAUUUGGAGAGGAUGAGACUGGUGGCCAAGCGACUCGACUUACUCUGCAGGACUUGGAAUACCUGUUUAGAGCGAAAGGCUGAGAAGGUAACUUUUAGAAGUGUGUGGCUUUGUAUGCUCAUUAUUAGCAAAGUGCAAAUGAUGGGAGCUGUUGAAAUAGAUCUUAGGACUAACUGGAACAGGUGACCACAUUUUAUAUGAUGAUGAUGAUUGAUCAUGUGGACCGUCAUUGAAGGCUUGCGUGAUCGAAUUUUUGAACCAUUGGUUUCUUAUAGCUUUACCGUGUAUAGGAGGAGUUGGGACACUGCAUAUUUCAUCCGAUGAGGAUAGAUCCCUGCUGGGUAUCGAUGAUUCUUUCAAGUUGCAUUGUAAAUGAUAGGUUCCUUUUUGCCCUUUUUGGCUGGAUAUAACCACAAAUUGACGGUGUUAUUUUGAUUGGUUAAUAUAGUGAGCAUCUUUUUGGUGAACUUUCCGUCUUGUCUCUCGCUUAUUUUUUUUUAAAAUUUAUUAUUUAUAAUUUAUCAAUGUUGCUGUGGUUCAUUUUUAAUUUUUAGUUUUCUUGGAAGUGAGUAUAGUCGAUACGUUGAUCUUGACAACCAGACGGUUAUUUUGGCUUUCUAAACUUUUUUGUUUUUUGCUUGGUGCUGUGGGAGUUAAAACCUGGCACUUAGUGUUCGUGUCAAUUUGAUUUCUGACUCUAUCCAACUGAAAUGGCUGACCUAUAUAUUAUACGGAUCAUUGAAAUUUCUUUCUUUGUUUGGUGUCUUGACUGCAAUCACAACUUGCAACAGGGUUCUCUAGGCUGGCUUCCUUUGAGACGGAAUUGUAACUUUAUAUCCAACCAUUGGUUGGUUGGUUGGUUGGUUGGUUCUAGGCUUUUUAGCUUCAAGAUGCCCCUUUUUUUUGGGGUAACCGGUAGUUUUUGAAACCAAGACAUCCUACUUUAUUAUGAUAAUUCAAAUUCAUUGUAUCAUAUAUAUUAAUUUAGAAGAAAAUAAUAAUUGAUGACAAGAUAAAAUGUUAAGCGUUAGAUUAGACUGUAAGUUCCUAAUGAUUAGAUUAAUUACAUUCUGAUAAUAGCAAUGGUGGUAGUAGUUAUGAAAAAAAAAAACUCUUAAACUUAAUUAAAUUCGGAGUAUGAACUGAAGCAAAAUAUAAUACUCCAUGCGUUCCGUCUUCAAAUUUUAUUUCAAUUUAAAAUUCUUGAUUAGUCACAAUCUAAUUCAAUUUCCAUGUUGUUCAAAAUAUAGCCAAAGAGAUGUUAGUAUUUAUCCAACGUAUGGGAUGAAAAAAACCUUUAAACUAAUCGUGCAUGGCGUCAACAUAAGUUGGUUUAAUUGAUCAAUUUCUAAAUCGUUCAAAAUAUUGCCAAAGAGAUGUUAGUAUUUAUCGAACGUAUGAGAUGAGAAAAGCCUUUGAACAAAUUGUGCUUGGCACCAACACAAGUUGGUUCAAUUGAUAAGGACGGGAUAAUUUUUUCAUAAAAGAUUGUGCGUUCGAAGCCUCCUAUCGAUGUAAAGGCUGUUCGAAGCCUCCUAUCGAUGUAAAGGCUGUAUUGGUGGGUGAUUUGUAAUAACUCCAAUAAGCGAUCUAUCAUUUCGGGGGUACACGUUGACCUCCGAUGGUAAUUAGAGACGAAUUCAUUCAAACUUAAAAAAAAAAAAAAAAACUUGAACCUCGGUAAGUGACUUAUGGUUUCGAGAGUACGCCUUGAUUCGUGGUGGUAACCAGAGCCGAAUCCAUCCAAAUUUUAAAAAACAAAAAAAAAAGAAAAAAAAACCUUGGUUGGCCAAUAUUAGUAUUCGUCCAACCUUGUUUUUUUUUGUUUUUUGGAGUAUUCAUCCAACCUUGCUUGGUUAGCUUGGUCAAUGUACGCAUUUAGGCAAGUCAAUAGGUAGGGUCUAAAUUGGAUUCCUUUUAUCCAGAUCCAGACCCGUUGGCUCCGUUUGGAUUAGCUGUUUUGGGGUUGUUUUUCAAAAACACCACUGUAGCAUUUCGAAUCUGAAAAACAAGUCCGUUUGGAUUAGUUGUUUUUGGGGUUGUUUUUCAAAAACUAUAUGAAAAACUUUUACUGUAGAUUUUUUUGAAUUAUUUUUAGAGGUAUUUUUGAAACAUAUUUUUGAGUAUUUUUAGAAUAUUAUAAUUUUUAUAUUUUUAUAUAAAUAUACAUUUAUUCAUUUAUAAUACAUUUAUAUUUACAAAUGUAUAAAUGUAUAUUAUUACAAAUGUAUAAAUGUAUAUUAUUAUAAAUGUAUAAAUUAUAAAUGAAUAUUAUAUAAAUGUAUAAAUUAUAAAUUAUAAUUUUUAUAUAAAUAUACAUUUAUGCAUUUAUAAUACAUUUAUAGAUAUUUAUAAAAAAAUAUAUUUAUAUAUUCAUAUAAAAAUAUAUAAAUGUAUUAUAUUAUAUAUAAUACAUAAUAUAAAUAUAUUUAUAAAUGUAUAAGUGUAUAUUAUUAUAAAUGUAUAAAUUAUAAAUGAAUAUUAUAAAUAUAUUAUAAAUUAUAAGUGUAUAUUAUUAUAAAUGUAUAAAUUAUAAAUGAAUAUUAUAAAUGUAUCAAUUAAUAUAUUAUAAAUAUAUAUUAAUAUUAUGUAGAAAUAUGUUUAUAUAAAUAAUAUAAAUGUAUAUAUGUAUUAAUAUUAUGUAUAAAUGUAAAAUUAAUAUUAUGUAUAUUAAUAUAAAUGUAUAAAUGUAUUAUAUUAUGUAUAAUACAUAAUAUAAAUGUAUAUUUAAAUGUAUAAGUGUAUAUUAUUAAAAAUGUAUAAAUUAUAAAUAAAUAUUAUAUAAAUGUAUAAAUUAAUAUAUUAUAAAUAUGUAUUAAUAUUAUGUUGAAAUGUAUUAAUAUAAUUAAUAUAAAUGUAUAAAUGUAUUAAUAUUAUGUAUAAAUGUACAUUUAUAUAAAUGUAUAAUAUAUUAUAUAUUAUAUUAUGUACAAUUUAUAUAACAUAUAAUAUUUAUGCAAAUAUAUUAUAAAUAUAUAAAAUAUAUUAUAAAUAAAAUAAAUAUUUAUAAUAUGUAUGUAUAAAUAUAUAAUAUUAGAAAUGUAUAAUAUAUAUAAUAUAAUUUAUAUAUAAUAUACAUAAUUGAAAUAUACACAUUAAUAUAUAUUAUAAAACAAAAUUGCAUAAAUAUAUUUAUAAAUUUAAAUAUAAAUAAAUGUAUUUAUAUAAAUAUAUAAUAUUAUACAUAAUUGAAAUAAAUAUAUUUAUAUUAAUAUAAUAUAUAUAUAUAUAAUAUACAUAUUAAAAUAUAUAAUUAAAAUAUAUUAAAAUAUAAUUGAAAUAUACAUAUUAAAAUACAUAAUUAAAAUAUACAAAUUGAAAUAUACUUAUUAAAAUAUACAAAUUAAAUAUGCAUAAUUGAAAUAUAUUUGGAGUUGUUUUUGAUAUAUUGUUUGGAUAUAGUUUGUUUUUGAAGUUGUUUUUGAAAUACACAUUUACUGUAGCAUUUGGAAUGUGAAAAACAGUUUUUCAAAAACAGGCACAAAAACACUCAAUCCAAACGGACCCGUAAAUCCAUACCCAGAGCCUUAUGGAUUUGGGUAUCCAAUAGGCAUCCAUGGGUAUUUUCUAAACAUAUUAAAGUAAAAAUAUAUUAAAAAUAUAUAGAGUUCAUAAAUAAUAUAAAUACCAUCUAAUUUUUUUUUCAACUAAUAAAAUUAACAUUCAACAAGUUGAAUGCAAUAUUGUGAACUCAAAGAAAGAAUUAUUAUUGACUAUUUCUAUAUAUUUUCAAAGAUUCAACUUCAUCCACAUCCAACAUUUCAUUCGUUCACUUUUAGCUUUUCUUGAAAAAAUUUGUACAAAUUAUAAUGACAAUUAGGAUUAGUUUUUAAAAAGAAAAACAACCAUAACAUAUAUAAAUAUAUAGCUUUAUUAAAAAAAUAUAAUUUUGUACCUCUUUUUCUUAUUUAAAUCUUAAUAUUGGUAGAUGUCUCGCAAUCCAGUACUAAAAUAGUGAAUGAGAUAAAAGUCAUUUGACUAAAAACCAAUGGCAAAUAAAUAAUAGAAUAAGAAAAUUUAUAAACACUUAACUCAUUUUUUUAUUCAAUCCAAUCAUCAGUAAUUACUAAUGUUUCAAUUAUAUCUGGAACCAAUUUAGCACAAGUCUCAUCAAUUAUCCAACCACCAACACUAAAUGCAAAUUCUGAUGCCAUGAAAUGUUACUGUAUUUGAUCCAAUAGUCAUAAAAUAUUAGGUUAUUUUAUAAAUUUACUAAUAUAUAUAUUAUUUAAUUAAAUAUAUAUGAGUUUGAGUAGGAAUUGGUAUGGAUUUGAAUUUGAAUAUGGAUUCUAGAAAAAUAAACCCUAUUCAAACCCAGGACUCUCUCAUAGGAUCUAAGUUUGGGUAGGGUCUGAAUUUGAGAAAUUAAAUCCAAACCCUGUCCAAAUAUAUUAGAUCUGAGUUGGAUAUGGAUAAGAUUCGACCUAUUCACAUGCCUAUCCGUAUUCAUCCAACCUCGCUUGGCCAACUAAUGUUGAAAGCAGGCUGAGUCUGAGAGGUCAUUCUCGAGAGAAAACAUUUCCACUAAUAAUCACCAACCAAUGUUGAAAGCAUGCUGAGUCUGAGAGGUCAUUCUCAAGAGAAAAUGUUACCACUAAUAAUCACGGACAUUUGCUUAGGCAAUAAGCAGAAUAAAAGGAGUAUCGUUUGAUUUAAUUUCCUUGUUUCUGAAUCCUAAGGUAUGCCAAUAAUACAUUGGCUAUUCUUCCUCCUUAAGACGCAUCGAAAUCUGGCCAAUUCUAAAGUAAUGAAAAGCUUAACAAUAAAUUUCUAAUGGUACUUUGCUUAAAUUAAAGAAAAACUACAAGAAAUCUGUGAACAUAGAGGGUUAGUAGCUGGCUUCUCCUGUUGUGCAAAUAAAAAAAAUGCUAAUAUCGUAAGUAAACAAUUUCAACUAGAUAUAGAAAAAAUAUCACGUUAAAUUUUGCAAGCUACUGGGAUAAAAGUUUUCAAUUCCGUGGCUUAUCACCCCACAUGGACAAGUCGUUAAUUUUCUUUUGUUCUGCAAAAAUACAUAAGAGUUUGCAAAAAUCGUAAUUGAAGCUUUAAUGUGUAGUCUAUUGGAAUCCAUGGAAAUAGGUGUAGUAGCGGAGAGGUACAAGGGAAUAGACAAUCUGAAUAAAGAAAUUUAGGCCUUGUUUAAUAACUCAAUUUAGCACUUAAAUUUAAUGGAUUCAAAUCUUAACAUAUUCACACCGUUUGAUAACGAAAAAUUGAACAUUUGAAUUAAUUAAAUGGCACUGGAUUUUCAAGAAAAAACUUGCUCUCAAAAUUAAGUGAUAAGUUAUUCACUUAUCACUUAAUGUAAUAUGCACUCAAAUGUAUUAGAUUUAAUGGUUAAUAAUUUAAUAAUUUAAUGGAUUUAGACUUUAGAUUUCAGAUUUCAGACUUCAAUUUUAUCACAUGCACCCUUAAUCGGUAUAGAAAAAUUUUCCUUUAAGAAUACUUGCAAAUUUCUGAGAUUCGUACUUUCUAAAUUUUAAUUAUGUUUGGAUAGCAAAUUUUUCCAAAAAAAUUUUUUCACUUGCAUCAUAAACACAUUUUUUAAUUCACCUUUUUAUAUUUUCAACCACCUUUUUAUCUCACAUAUAUCACAUCACAAAAAAUGCUACAGUAAUUAUUCCAAAUAAUUAUUUGGAAUAACACUCUACCCAAACAUGUGUCACUUUUUUCCGUGUUUGUCCACGUAAGAAGUGAUAUAAUCGUGAUGAGAAGAUCGACGUUAUAAAAAAGAGAGAGAAACAUAUUCACUGAAUGCGUUGUUUAAGAAAUCGGAUUAAUUAUUUUCUCAAAAAAAAUUCUCAAAUCCUGCUACCUUUUUUACAAAAAAGAACUCUCAAAUAGUGAAGGUUUUAGAAGAACAUAUUCACUGAAUACGCCGUUUAAGAAAUAUACAUCUAUAUAAAUUAAAAAACAUAUUUAGUAAAUGCAUCUUCUGAAUAGACACUGUAUUCGCUAAAUUCGUUUUCAUCAUUUGAGAAAAUGUUCGAAAAACAUCAACCUUUAAAAAUAAAUGUCACGGUUUGGAAAUUGGUUGGAUGUUGCGAUUCAAAAUCUAAGGUUAGUUAAUAGACUUUGUGUGACAUGUUUGGUAACUUUGAUGCCAUUCCUGUCCUUUUUUCAAUCAACAAAUAACUGAAUAAGCUGCGCUCUUUGCCCCCUAAGGGGCCCUUUUCUUUAGUGAGAUGAUUUUCUCAUGAGAGGCAAGGGGAUGAAUUAUCUAGUGGACCGCUAUGCACGUCCGGAAAGCAAAUAAUUGAGAAAUGAUUGUUAAGACCUUUUCAAUUGUAGUCAAUAUCUUAUAAACAAAUAAUCGCAAAACUUUCAGUAGCAAAAAGGGAGCAGACUGGGGCUUAAAGAAAAGAACUUGUUAUUUGGCCUAACUUUAGUAGAUGUAAAAGUAAUUAAUUGGACAGGAAUAAAAGGAUCGACCUUCCAAACAAUGGUUUUUUUUUUUUUUUUCUGCAAAGAAACGAUGUGUUAUCUUCUGAAUGAGAAAUGUUUACUUAAAAUUUUUUGUUUUUAAAGAGGUAGACAAAAUAUGGACCCCCGAGAAGGACUAGAAAGAUGAAUUUGAAUUAGUCGAAAGGAUGUUGGCAAAUUAAGAUAGGACAUCCUUUCGGCUAGAAAAUUUUGGAUUUGGAGCAACUAGAAAAUUUUGGCUUCCCCGCAGAGUUGAUUUUGGACGAGACAUUUGCUGCUUAAGAGCAGUAAUAUGUUUAAUUUUGUGUAAGUUGUGCUUGUCAUAUUUUUAUGUCAAUAUCAAGAAUAUCAAAGUCCGAAUUAGUGAAUUCAUCUGUCUAACAAUCAUAAUGGACUAUACCAGCUUGGUUGGGUUGAGGUCAGCAUUAAUUUCUUUGUAUCAAUUCUAAGGAUUCUUGAAAGUUGAAAGGUCACGUUACUGUCCUACUUCAAUGUUGGUGACUGACGGGCAAAACCGAGUUACGGAGGUGGACUUUGACUUCAUCUUUCCUGAGGCCAUGAAAGUGUUCUAGAGACCUUGCAAAGAAGUCCAAGUUAGCAUUAUUGAGCCAGCCUGUUUUGACUCUUCCUCUUGAGUGAGUGUGACACAGUAUUCUUGUUUUCAGUUCAUCAGCACUUAAAUGAAAUGGUGGUGUUUUUACUUUUUAGGUGACUUAAAUCUGGGAGAGCUAGCUGUAUUCCAAUCCUUCUGCUAAAAUUAGGGUUCUCUUUUUCUUGAAUGCCUAUAUGUUUCUUCGUUUAUAGGGCUGCAGUUUGCCAUAAUUAGGAAACUAUCUACCUAACUUGAGUAGUAGAGUGGUGGUUGGGGAGAUCUGUUAGAGUCAUUUUCGCCAUGCAAUUUAUGAUUUGCUAUCGUACUUCUUGUAUUACUGCCGUACUUCUUGUAUGCAAUUUUGUUACUGUUAAAAUUAUGAUUUGAAUUUUGUUUCUGACAGUUAAGAAUAGAAUAGGAAGAGAAUGAAGAGGGGUCGGAGGGUGAAAAAAUACAUAUAUAUUAAAAAAAAUCUAUACUUAUAUUUACCUCGCUUGAGCUUUAGUAAAUUUUGUUUUCUGGUGAUUUGUCUGAUUUAUUGCUAUGAUUACGACCUAUGAUUUCAUUUCUGUCCUCGGUUUCUUUUUGUUUUCCUAUUAGUUGCUUUUUGUUCCAAGCCAAGUGAAAUUAGCUCAAAGGAAGUGGAAAAUAUACGCAUGGCAUGGUCUCAACUCUCAAACUUGAUCUUUUUCCACUGGCUGCCUACUAAAUUGAGACCCCAUGGCAAAGGUUGUUGAGAUCAGUCAUACUUCCACAUUCGUACUUGCUAAUAAUAAGUAUGUCUUUAAACUCGAGGAGCCAGAUCAGGCAAACUUGUCACCCCGUUUAAUGCAAAGUCUACAAAUUAGUCAAUUACUAAUUCUCAUAUUUAUACGAAUACGAUUGGAUUGGAUUGGAUUGGAUUGUAACCAGUGAUAUAUUGUCACACCACUCACCACUUGACAAGUAGGGUAGACCCACCAUUUGGUUUCAUUCAAAGCCAUCGAAAUAGACUAAUAAUGCAUCUAUCCAAGUGUUUGGACACCCAAGUUUUUGUACAAAGUAGAUUGUACUUACUUGAAUUGUAUAUACAAUUUUAAUAACUUUUGUAUUCCAUUAGUCUCGUUUUGAUGCUCUUACUUUUCUUUUUUAACCGUCUCAAUUUAUAGUCCACCUUCCAAUUCAAUAAUAUAAUAAACUUUUAACUUCUCUAAGAUAUCUUUAUUUAAUAUACAUUGUUAUCAAUAAAUAUAACCUAUCCUAUUUAAUACAGUUUUUUACCAAUAAUUAUUUUGAUAUAUGUAUUGAAUGGUGCAAUAUACCAUCAUUAUUGUUGUUAUAAUUAAAAAGGUAUAGUGAUUAGUGGUAUUCUUAAUAUUAAUGUAAACAUAUUUUAGGAAAAAUAUUAGUCUAGAUUUACUUUUUCAACAAAGUUAACUAUUUUUUUAAAACUGUGUGAGAAAAAAAAAUCAAAACUAUCAAAAAAAAUAAAAACUAUAAAAAAUGAAAUAGAGAGUAUCUCACAUAUAUCACAAUACAAAACGCUGUUUUUUCUGUCUAGGCGCAUGUGACUCCACUUCCAUUGUUAUUUUUGAACAUUUUUAGUACUUGUAGAGGAAAUUUAGAACCUCGUUUUGUGCAAAUGGAAUUUAGGACUACCUGCCCAACACAGAAUUACUUUGGCGCCGCAGGCUAUCGCCGAAUCCUAAAGACUCCAAUGUCAUUGUUGCUUCAUCCGAAUAUAUAUACAUAUAUAAAAUGGUACUCAUAUAUAUGCACACAACCAGAAAGUAAGCAAUAUAUGAUAUGAAGGCUGUACCCGUUGUUAAAGAAAAUGAAACAAAGUUGAUAAUGAGAAUUAGUUAAUGAAGUCAAGGACAAAUUUAUGCAACACUGCUUGAAGCUCAAAGGACAAAAUAUGAGAGGAUCCAUAACUUUACACUGAAUUUACAAUCACCCAAAUCCAAUACCUCUUGAAAUUCUUUCACUGGACGUUCCUUCAAAAACCAGAAGAUCUUCGACUAAUCCAAGGUUUUCUUUUCUAGUACACAGAAUCACAGAUAAACAAGCAACUCUGGUGCAUUAAGAUAUUAAGUGAACAAACCUUCUCAUCUGCCUCUGUUAUUUAUUGAUGAUCAAGUUGUUCAUCAACCCAACGAAAGGAGUCUCUUCAACUCUUGUGACCAAUCAGAUUACAUUUGAUGUAAUUUGUGUUUGGGGUUUCACAAGUUUCAUUUCAAACACGUUUGACUUAUAAGUAUAAAUGCUCUAAAAUUGCAUGUAAAUAAAUUAUAGAUAUGGCGUAAAUAAGUUGCAAUACGAUGUAAAAAAAAAUAACAGAGAGAUUUAGAAUGGUAAUUUCGCCUUGAAAUGGAACUUGUAAACGCUAGAACCAUGUAUUUUUCAUUCCACAUCAAUCAGAGUACAACUUUUUUCAUUGUUAAACUUUCCACAGGUCGGGCGUGGUAAAAGAAAGUUACAUCGUACUGAGAAUCGUUCCUACUCCUGUCCCUCUCCCGCGAACCGCCUACUAGAGGCCCAACUUUAUCUUCUUUACUCCACCAUUAUCACAAGUCACAACUACCUCAACCUCAAGUGACAUGGAGAAACGAGAGUCAAUGACAAGGUCGACGGCAUGAAAAGCCAAGCAUGUACAGUAGAGGAUGCAUAUCAUGACCAUUGAACUAUCAACAAAAUGACAACCCCAAUCAUUCUUAUAAAGAGUCCCAUGGGUCAGAAUUUACAUGUAUUUUGGCAGGAUUUACUCCUUAGACAUUACACAGAGGUUUUUCUGGAAACUAAAGAUGAUGAACAAUACUCUUGUAGAAGCUAUGGAUGUUGAAAAAAAGACAAUUCAUCACCAGAAGGAAGAAAUGAUUGAGAGAGAGGACUUGGAAGAGCUGCAGAAAGCGGCUGAGGUUCACAGGAGGCUUCAACCAUGGAAGAAGCAGAUCACUGUCCGAGGUGUCAUUGUCAGUGUAUUCAUAGGGAGCAUCUACAGCAUCAUAAUUAUGAAGCUAGCCCUCACGGCAGGGAUCAAUCCACACCUCAAUGUCUCUGCUGCUCUUCUUGCAUUCAUCAUUGUUCGUACAUGGACAAAGCUGGUUCGAAAGGUUGGACUAGUUUCAGUUCCGUUCACCCCGCAGGAGAACACUAUGAUACAAACUUGUGCAGUUGCGUGUUACAGCAUUGCAUUGGGAGGUUAGAGCACUCUUACUAGUAAAGGACUGAAUUUAGUUUAUCUACUCUCUUAGUACUGUCUCUAAUUAUCUAUCCCUUUUGAUUUGUUUUCGGAUUUUCAGGCGGAUUUGGUUCUUAUAUGUUAGCUCUAAGUAAGAAGACGUAUGAACAGACAGGAGUAACCACUGAGGGAAAUCCUCCAGGCAGCUACAAGGAACCUGGGGUUGGUUGGAUGACCGGCUACCUAUUUGCAGUUUGUUUCAUUGGUCUUUUCGUGUUGAUUCCACUCCGAAAGGUAUACGUACGUGAAUAUGGCAUUUGUCUUUAUUAUUGGUUUUGUUCCUCUUCCUAAAUCUUUUGAACAUCAGAUAUGAUGCAAUUAGUAAAAUUUGACCUUUUUUUUAGCUCAAUUUUCCUCUAUUAGGGAAAAAUAUACAAAGUCGAAUUCUCAUCAUGCUGAUUUGUGUCCUACUCUUUAAAUAGCAGCACUGGAAUGGAUUGCAACUUUUGAAGAUUCCCAACUUUCUAUGAAACAUCGAUAUACUAGUAUACUUGUAUUUGUAUAUUCGAUAUAGAUGCAUGACCAAAUGAUGAAAGACUACUCAUCGUGUACAUCCAAUUCCACUCUUACAUAUUUGCUAUUGUUCUACUGUUGGACCACAAUAUGUACUUCCUUCAACAAGUUCUAGCAAAGAUACAAACAACAUUUUCUUUAUCAUUUACCUACGAGUUUCAACUUUCAAGUACUACUCUUUUACAAUUUAAAAGUCUUAGGAGUUCCUAUUGGUCUGCAGAUCUUGAUAAUAGACUACAAAUUGACCUUUCCAAGUGGCACGGCAACUGCUAUUCUGAUCAAUGGAUUUCAUUCCAUGGAUGACAAAAUGGCUAAGUACACCUUCUUUCUUUAAUAUAUAUAACAGCUAUCACGUACAGAAAUAUGUGCCUUUUUUAAAAAAAAAUAAACUAAUGUUGGUAAUGAUGACAUAUAAUUUUUUACGCUGCAGAAAGCAAGUACGAGGUUUCACGAAGAUGUUCUCUUUGAGUUUCUUAUGGGGAUUUUUUCAGUGGUUUUAUUCUGGACAAGGACUAGGAGAAUGCGGAUUCUCAAAGUUUCCUACAUUUGGAUUGCAAGCUCAGAGGCAAACGUACGUCUAUAUCAUGCAGCACUUAUAGUUAGUAACUUUCUGAGUAUCAUUGAAGUUGUUUGACUUGCUGAUACUUUGAUCUUUUUUUUGGGUUAGAUUCUACUUUGAUUUUAGCUUUACUUAUGUGGGAACUGGAAUGAUCUGUCCCCACGUUGUGAACCUGUCUAUGCUUCUUGGCUCAGUGCUCUCAUGGGGCAUAAUGUGGCCACUCAUCAAAAAGCAAAAGGGACAUUGGUUCCCAGAAGAAAUACCAGAAGUCAGUAUGAGAAGUCUUAAUGGUUAUAAGGUCUCUCUCUCCCUCUUUCUUCCACACAUAUCCACACACUGACAUAUUAUAUGUGCAUCUAAUGUGCAUCUGGCCUUAGUAUGUCUAUUUUCAUGGGGAUUCGACAUCAUGUUGGAUUAAUAAUUCAAUUCAAAUAUGAUCUCCUGGCAGGUCUUCAUCCCCAUUGCUCUCCUUUUAGGUGAUGGGCUAUACAAUUUCAUCAAGAUAACUUGUAUCACGGUUUCUAGCAUGUAUGCCAUGUUCAAAGGGAGAAAAAUCAGCUCAGGUAAAGUUACGAACAAACGUGUAAGGCUAUACCUGGAAGCAUUUUGUUCCUAAACUUUAUUCAAGCCACGCCUAUUUUUGGUUAAAGUGAUUAAAAAGAUUUUCAAGCAUCUCAUCGAACAUUAUACACCUGGAAUGUAAAUUUGAACGAUCUUGUGCAAUAAAAAGACUCUAAAAACUUUACAUUUCCUUUUGGCAGAGGAAAGUAACAAUAACGAUGCCAUUGAUAAUCGGGCACAAGAUGAGGUCUUCAUCAGAGAAAACAUUCCAAUGUGGAUAGCAGCAUGUGGGUAUAUAUCCCUGGGAGUCGUUUCAGCAAUCACCAUUCCCUUAAUCUUUCCUGCGCUCAAGUGGUACUAUGUUGUCGUAGCAUAUAUAUGUGCUCCAGCUUUAGCUUUCUGCAAUGCUUAUGGAGCUGGUUUGACGGACUUGAACAUGGGCUACAACUAUGGUAAAGUAGGGCUUUUUCUCAUUGCUGCAUUGGUUGGAAAAGAACACGGUGUUGUGGCAGGAUUAGCUGGGGCAGGUCUCAUGAAGUCAGUGAUUUCUGUUUCUUGUGUUCUGAUGCAAGAUUUUAAAACAGGACAUCUAACCUCUACGUCCCCUAGAGCAAUGUUUCUGAGCCAGGCCAUUGGUACAGCUACAGGUUGUGUGGUUGCACCGCUCAUCUUCUUCCUGUUCUACAAGGCAUUCGACGUUGGAAACCCCAACAGCGAGUUUAAGGCCCCCUAUGGUAUCAUUUACAGAAACAUGGCCAUUCUUGGAGUUGAAGGUUUUUCAGCAUUACCACGAUAUUGCCUGGAUCUCUGUUAUGGCUUCUUUGCCUUGGCGGUUGGCAUCAAUAUAGUGAAAGAUCUUUCUCCGGCGAGGAUCGGAAAAUGGAUGCCAGUGCCAAUGGCUGUGGCACUGCCCUUCUUAGUUGGGGCAUACGUCGCAAUUGACAUGUGCAUUGGAAGUUUGGUUGUGUUCGUGUGGCACAAACUUAACUCCAAGAAAGCAGAGCUGAUGGUUCCAGCAGUUGCUUCUGGACUGAUAUGUGGUGAAGGCCUCUGGGUACUGCCGGCAUCAAUUCUUGCUUUGGCCAAAGUCAAACCACCAAUUUGCAUGAAAUUCUUGGCUUCUUAGAAUUAGAGGAAAAUAAUUUGCAUUGUUGUUUAUAUGUCCAACAGAAAAAGGAUCUAGAUCUGAUGGCCCCAAUCCAAAUCCUGGACAUAACACCCUGGUAAUUUACUUGUAGUUUACCAUAAGAUACAAGGCAUCAAUAUAAAAUAUAACCAUAUAUUCCUUCCCAUAAUCUUAAUUUUUCUAAAUAUAUAGAAGUCACAAUUCACGUCAACCAUAACAUGGCUACAACAAAAGAAGCUUUCACUCCUACUCUAUUAGUAGCCCCCAAACUCGAUCAUUAUCAUCCUCAUGAGUAGUAAAUUAAUACCAUAAUUAUGUUUAUUUCAAAAUCCCAAAAAAAUAAAAAAAAAGAGAUUCGGAUAUUAUGUUCUCGAUCUCCACUAAUAAAAGUUUCAAUCUCAAAACUUGGCGUACUUUGGAAUCCAAAUAACUGCAGAUGCUGAUUUCACAUCUCUUCUUCAAUCUUUGAAGUCCUUGUUACUUUAAGGCCAUAGUCUUUUCACGUAGCUUGGUUUCUCACUUCCCUUGGAUAACAAACACCACAAUUUGUGGCAUAACUAACAAACACUACAGGCUACGUUGUAGGUUGCGUUUAGCAAAUAUUGAGGAUUGAGUUCCUAACCAUUGACAAGCUUAAGCCAUGACAAUACAAAGCCAAUAUAAUAUUGGUUUCUCUCUUCCUCAUCCCAGGCUCCUAACUAAUCUUCAAAUCCCUCUGUUAAAGCCUCAAAGGAGGGGUAUGAACAAUUACGACUCCAAACAAGUGUUCGAUUAGAUGGCUCAGAAGAGAUUUAGUUGUACAUUUAUAAUCUGCAUCUGCAUGCUUUUUUCCACAAUCUUGUUAGCUUAAUCCCACAUAAUUGCCCCUUGUCGGUCGUCUCCAUUUUUGCCAGAUUGACAUCUCAUUUUACCACUGUUUAUUUUGAUUCACCUGCAAUUUUGCAUAUAAAUCAGUUCAAGUAUGCAACGUCUUCUCUGUUGUCUGCACUUUCUUUUACAAGUUGCUUUUGCCCUCAAAAUUUCUAGUUUCCAAAAACCUCCACGCAUAUAAUCUACUGAAGUUCGUCUCAAUGAUCCCGUAACCAAUCAAAUCAAGUUUCAACAAGUUCUAGUGUUCGUUUGUGAAGCUCAACUCAUGAAGGCAAAGGAAAAAUAGUAGUAAUUCAGUACAAAAGAACCAAGCUACUCGAACUGAACUUGAGCAAUACCGAAAUUUCAACUUAAUUUAGUGUUAUUAAGAAGUCAAAUGCAUGUUUAAAACCCAACUGGAAGAUCAUCUUUUCAUGAUGAUCAAGAAUGCAAGUCAACAUUGAUCCUCGGUGAUUCCUAAGCAAUACUAUGAGCUUGGUACGGGCAAGUCUUUCAUAAGCAUUCGGCACUAAGUCAAAAACAUAUUGUACAGUUUAAAAGGACAAACUAGAAUCAUAAAGUGACUUGGGGUUGGAUUUUAGGCUGUGCAAACAAAUUCUGCAUCUAUUUCCGCCAAUGUUUUGAAACUCGGACUAUUAAUUGAACUCGCAAGCUGUUUGGGUCCAGACUCAACUGAUUGGACCGAUUCAACCCUCGUUCGAUGAAUUUUUUAAAAAAUAAUUUAUAUAAAUGUAUAUGUAUAAAAUAAGACAUGCAAUGGACUAAUUUAAAACUUUAUAUGAUGAAAAGUUUAAUAUUUUCAAAGAUCUUGGAUUUUCACAAAUAAAAAUUUUAAAUUAUAAAUUGUAACAAAUAAAUUUCAUCUCAGUCUCAAUUAUAUUUACCAAAAAAAAAAAAUCUUAAAUCCAACUCAAAAAUACCAUAAUAUUCUAAAAUUAUACAAAAUUCAUGUCCAUGGGAAUUAGACAUUGUGAAUUUAAAUUUUUAAUUCACAUUUUUGGAAUUUAGAGACUGCAAUUAAAAAAAAAAAGAAGAAGUUUGGAGUUUAGAAAAAAUCAGGAAAAUAGAAAAUAAAAAUGCAAUCUUGAUAAGAGGCAAAAAAUGAGAAGAAUGUAAGUGGUUGUGACAUUUAAUAAUUAGUCUUUAGGGUUAACGAAAACUUAUUCUUUUUAUAUAUAUUUUUCUAUUUAAUAGACAAAAACAAAAAAUCGCUGAUUGGUGGCUGUCAAACUACCAAAAAUCAAAUUUAUAUUAAACAUACUACCAAAACUGAAUGAGUAUAGCGGUGAGUAGGGUCGUCUCCUCAAGAAACUGGUAGAUUUAUCACACAAGGUGAUUGGGGGAUUUUUGGAAAAGGGAGAGAUAAGUAAAACAAAUUAAAGUAGUAAAAUGACUAAAUAAACAAUCGCAAUAAAUGUAAUAUGAUAGGUUGCAAUUUUAUCAUUUAUUUUAUUAUUAAUUUUUCCCAUUAUCUGACCCGAUGUGAAUUAAUUGCUAGAUUCUACUCACUUUUGAUAUUUUACAUUUAUUUCAGGGAGUAGAACGAAAAUAUCAUAAUAAGUGUUAAUUUGUCAAUCAUUAGGAAGGAGUUCAAGUAGCAAGCGUUCAGGAGCAUUUUUGAAAUAUUAAGACGCGACCCUUUUUGAUAAUUUGUGGAAGACAGCACUGGAAAAAAGAAAAGGGAACAAAAAACCGAAGUCUUCCUCACCGUUGGGGGGCGGCCGCACAGUAGCAAUAGGCUACUUAGAUACCAAAUGGAGAUUGCAGGAUUAGCACUAUCUUGGGAGAGCUUUUGCUCUUUGACUUUUCUUUUGUUAGCUUAGGAGUAGCUUCAAUUCACGCAUGUCAGGAGAACAUUAGAAACCUUUGACUUUCCUUUUCGGCUUCUAGUAACUUUUUCUGCCUUCGUAUGAUGAGAUGAAUAGAAGACAUUAAAUCAUCCUCUGUAACUUUGCUUUUCCUUAUUCCUUCGAUCGAAUUGAAUUUGCCCAUUUUUCAAUCAAUGGCCGAUGCUUUCUCUUCGAGUUCAUGUGGGUCUUUUGUAUCGGAGAUGAACUAAAUUUUUGUUUCUAGUCAAAGAACAACAGAUGCUUUGAUUCGCCUAAAAAUUGUGAGAUCGAUUUAAUUUUCUCUUUUUCUUUUAUUUAUUAGUAUUCGCAUAUUCCUUGAUUGCAGUACUUAUGAUUAAUUAAUUGUCUUGGAUCCGGAUAAUUAGUUAACUUGAUAAUCUAUUGUCAAUUAGGAUAUUAAAUUCGUAAUUGUUUAAUUGCCUCAAAAUAGUGUCAACUGGUAUGAUUAAAUUUAUGUCAGAGGAAUACGCGGACUAAUCUAAAAUAACUCUGAUAGUGCGUUAUUUGGUUAGAAUAGGACUCAUCUAAUACGUAAGACAAUUGAAAAAUUAAAUCUUACGGGCGUAUUUAAGAUUAUUUCUCAAUUAGGCAGUGAUUAACGGGCGUACCUUAAUCACCGACACAGUAAGGAAGGGUUGAUUGUCAUCGCUUGUUUGACAGUUAUAACCUAUUUAUUAGUAAAUAAUUGGAAUUGCCUUUGUUUCAAUGAUCAAUUAGGUGAACUAUUGCUGAAGUUAUUUUCUGACUAGAUCAUUAGUUAUCAUUCAUUUGACUUUAGUAAAUUGUUAUUUAAUUUUUAGUAGUUUUUUGAAUUUUAUUUGCAUUUAUUUGAUUGUCACCUUCUACGCAAAAAUACUCCCUGAUUACUGUGAAUUUGAAAAGAAACAGUUACACCCAAUCCCUGUGGAUUCGACCCUACUUACCACUAUCUACAAAAAUUAACUUUAGUUGAACAGAUUUUUAUUAUUGCAUAGGCCCGACACCUGCUACAAUAACUCAAGAAUGAAAUAAACAAUUGAUUGACACAACCUAGUCAAGGAGAUAAUCUUGACAUCGGUUCACACAAUUGAUCAUAGAUACCUGGAUUAAUUCACACGUUCAUAAAUAAAUUGGUUCUAGCAAUUUAGCAACUGCCAAACUCCCAAUCUCUCCUUAAUUUUACAGUAGUCCAGAAACACUCUUAAACUACCCUCUUAUAAAAUAGAUAACCCCAGAGAUGCUCGAAGGAUUUAAUCUAUUCACAACUUUAGGAAUUAGAGAGACCCAAUUCUAUUUAAUAAAUACACAUGCGGGUUCAUUUAAAUUAGAUUAAUUAUUCCCACGACCCAGAUUAGACUGUUUGCGAGGCAAUGAAAUUGUGCUGUUCGCCACUAAUUUAAGACAUUCAAAUGAUACGCACCCCUGUUCUAAUUGCCAAUAUAUUAUUUAGAUAAUUGAACAACUGGCCACAUUGAUUUAAUAAAUCCAAACAAUAAUAGACUGUUAAAAUAGAGAAUAAUUAAAUACUCACAAACGCUGAAUUUAAAGCAAUCAAAAAGAUCUCACAGUUAUUUGUGCACCGGACCUUGAUUAUUUCUCAACUAGAUAAACAGGUUUAGCCUGAUCUCAUGCUGUUCAUGCGAUAGAAAACUUCAAAGUAAUUUCGUUGUUCAAAAAGUAAAAGUUGCGGCCGCUAGUCUACUAACUUGCGUUAGGAAGAAAAGAAAAACAAAGAGAAAAGUCAACAAGAUUCCAAAGAUGCCUUCCUAAUUUGUUGCUGUCUUCUUUUUAAAGUCCUCGCUGUCGCCCCCUUGCUUUUCGAUUUGGAAUUUGUUUAUCAAAAGGAUUGUUUCCUUAUUUCUCUCAUCAAAUUGUUACUAAAAGUCUUCUUUGACUCUAUUUCCUAAUCCCACACAGGUUCAGAAUUUGUUUCUAAAGAAUAGCGAAAGCUCCAGGUAUAGGACCUGCAGUCAGUCUUUUUCACGCAGUUCUGCGUUAUCUGGCGUGGACAUGCCAGAGAAUGCCUAGUCCUCUGAAAUUUGCCCUUUUUUUGUCACUUUCAACACCACUCUCCUGCAAAUAAUACAAAUACCAAAUAUGGGCAGAAAUUCAAUGUCUUGCAUAAUAAGUGAUCAAAAUUAAGAUCAGAUAACAGUGAAUAAAACGCACAAUUAUAUCAUUAUCACCGAUUCAACAGUUCAAUCCGAUUUGCACGGUUCAAAUGGUUUUUAUUGGUUUUUGAAUCUAGUUGACCCGAGGUAUGAAUCGGACUAGAGCUAUGAUCGGUUCAUGGUCCAACUGGCCCGUCCGGUCUUCAAAACAAUGAUUUAUGCUUGUACAAGUCAUUGCAGCUUGCAAGUAAGAGAAACAACCAAGGGGAGUCUCCCCAAAGGGGACUGAAGAGGUGAUUUUUGGUAGAUUACUAAAUCGACCUGAAUCAGUCUUCUCUCAAGUGAGAUGCGAUGAAUUCGCUUGCUCGAAGUGAAUGGCGGGGCUUCUCCCCUGAUAUCACUCCGACGAACAAAGUCAGUAUAUAGUGAGGGAAUGAAGAGUAAUGAACAGUAAGAAGGCAAUAGUGUGCUUACUUGUUGGGAGUGAAUAGGGGGUAUUUAUAGGGCAGGAAUGGAGAACAGAGUGGGCUUAUGCUAGCGGGACCUACGCCCUGGCCAUUAUGGCUCUGUCCCAUACCAGGGGGUCUGACUCUGACAUUAUAACAGCCUGGACAUGCUGACAAGGAGUCCCGUAUAGUAGUCAUUUAAGAUCAUCAGACGCUUUUCAGAUAAAGUACUGGUUCUGUAUUGUGUCAGGUAGGUUGAUAUCAUCAGUGUGCAGCCGAGGUGGAAGACCUAAGGUGCAGAGGUCAUCCAUGCCAUAGACCAGAGAUUUGGCCGGACCCAGGGGUCACGUCUAAGGGACAUCAUCUCGGCUUGUAUGACGAACGAAGUGGGAAGAUCUCGGUCUUGACGGUGGCCGAGGUGAGCAUUCUCAAUAAACCCCCCAAACCUCGGGGGCAUAGUGGUUCAUGGGGUAUCGAGACUUCCUUGUGCCGAAACCGUUCAGAUUUCGGGAUCCGAACCUGUUUCGGAAGAUGAGGGGCGUGACACGUGGACAGGUCAAUUGAAAGGAUGCGGGGGACGUGACGUAGUGUAGAGGGACGUUUCGUGCAAAGAGGGUGUCAGUUGAAAGGACGGGACAUUAAUGAGGAGAGAGAGAAAGACGUUAUUUUGAAUUUGAACGUGACCGCCUUUUCACAUUCUUGCCGCCUCUUCGGAUUCCCUCUAACCCCUAUAAAUAGGGGGUUCUUUUCUCCACACCACCCAUCAUUUCCUAUCUUUACCUCAUACUUUGCAAAUUUGUGAGCGUUGCUGAGGUCAGUUCCUUCAGUUGAGGUCUUCGUUCUCGUCCGAUUCCCUAGUUAAUAGUAAGUAUUUUUCUUUUCAUCUCAUCUUUCAUACAUGGUUAGAACGGCUAAAAUCCAUAAAAAAAUCGUAACGCCGAACUACCAAGUCGAGGAAAGGCUCGACCCCUCGGAAGACGGGGCCUCGUCCAGUUUUGAAGAAUCAACGUACAGUGCCGUGGAAGAAACUAUCGAGACCGCCCCAGAAGCGGAAUCUUCCGAGAUGAGUGAGGAUGGUUCCGAGGUCGUAUAUAAUGAUGAUCUUAGAACAGAAAUUCCUCACGAUGAUGGCGUACUGGAGCCAGUCGCUCCAUGGACGUCUCCAGCAUUGACUUCGGCAAGAUGCCGAUGUACAGGAGCUGCGUUGGAAGAGAUAGGGCUGAGAAGGUAAUACGAAAAUACCCCUUCAAAGCGAGGGUAUGUCAUCAAAUCGCCCGGAAUGAACCACUUGGCCGAAAGGCCACCAAUGGGCACAAUGGCGAUCUACUUGUAGCAGUUAGAGGCCGGGUUGAGAAUGCCGACGUCGAGAUUUUUCAGGGACGUACUCCGGUACUUUGGUAUUAGGAUCACUCAACUCACCCUGAACGCUGUUCGUAUUUUGGUGGGGUUCGAGAUGCUAUGCUGACAUCAAGAGGUGACCCCCACCGUUAAUCUCUUCCAUCGGUGUUACACCUUCAAGGCUCAUGGGACGGAUAAGGGGUGAUUGUACAUCUGCAACCGGAACAAUUCCAUCCGACAAGUCGUGGUCGACGCUCCCAUUUCGAUAAAGAAUUGGAAGUGCGACUUCGUCUUCGUCACCGCCGAGGACUUCCCUUGGGGUUUCUGGUGAAAGCCGCUUAAGUUGAAAAUCGACCCUUCCCCGAGGGAUCAUGAUGAAGAGGCCUUCCAGAAGCUGAUGGGGUUAGGGUUUCAGAUCAAUUGUUUUGGGACUACCCCGAGACAGUAUUGGUCGACGAGGGGAUUAGUCGACCCAUGAUCGACCCUGAGAAACCUCCCUUCUUUUUCACUAGACUUACGAAGCCUUGUAACUUUUCUUUCUUAGUUUUCUUUUCACUUUGGCUGUUACAAAUAAUAAUGUUUGCUCCUUGUGUAGUGGUUAAAUUGUCCGAUAUCAUAACCUCCGGCUCGGCCGAAGUGGCCAAGAGGUCGAAAGGGAAAAGCUCGGACGAGAUAUCGGCACCACCGUCGAAAAAGAAACCUCAAGGGCCAGUUGUCAAGACUAAAGUGGCCAAGAGCACUUCGGCCAAGACAGCCAAAAGCAGUUCGGCAGCAGCAGCUAUGGAGUUCACCUCAUCAGUGUCGGAAGGGGUGGCAACUCAAGGAAUCACAGUUGCUUUACCUCCUCAUGGCCGAGGCAAACAGUUGAGGCCCCUAGUCAAUCCGAUUACGGGGUCCUCGCUAUGGAACCGUUUCCAUAGCCCCCCUGUGUUUCUUGGGGAAAACAAGACGCGCCCCGGUGAGCAUUGGUGUCCGGAUUGGAAGCUCUCGGUCAACGACAGAUGCACCCAAUCUCGGACCGUACAGGAGUUAGUGAUGCACUCGAGCUUGCCGAGGGACGUAAAAUUUAUAAGGAAACUGACUCCGGUUGAGGUGGUCCAAAGCCUCUUGGUCGCCACGGCCUCCACCACAGCAUUUGUGGCCGAGAUGGCUCACGAUAUUGUGGCUUGGUCGAGGAGCAGGAUACCGGCAAGAUCUAAGAUAAAAUAGAGAAGUUGGAGAAGAAACUGGUCGUGUCGGAGAAGACCGAAUUUCAAAGCCGGUUGCAACAAGUUGAAGCGAAGGAGGAGGAAGGCGAGACUACUAUGAACAGCCUCAGGUCGACUCUUGAGGAGGAGCAGAAAAGGAGGGAAGAGGUAAAGAAGUUCCACGAGCAGGCAUUCGAGGGUGCUGGGGCCUUGGCUAUGGAGGCAUUCCGGAGGUCCGAGACCUUCCCUAAGGACCUCGGAGAGUUGACCAUGCCAAGCUUUAUGUUCGGCUACACAUCCGCUAUUGACGAGGUUGCUCCUCAUCUCUCCUUCGAGGUCUUGGAGUUCUUGAAGAACAAAAUUCAUUACAAUGAGGACUCCAAGAAGCUGUGCGAUCGGCUAGCCGAGGGCAUCCAAACUGGACGAAACUUGGCUGAGAUCCGAGACGAAUUCAACAAAUAGCUAUUCAAGCUCGAUGAGGUGUUCGAGGAGGAAGAGGGAGGAGAAGAGGCUAACUUCAGCGAGAAAGAAUCUCGCGAGAAGAUCGGCGAUGAGCACGAGGAAGGAGAAGAAACUCAUCUCGGUAGGAAAGAGGCUGUCGAGAAGACCGGCAAAGGAGUCGGGAUCGGGGUCUAGGCUAGUGGAGGAAAAGGGAAAUACCGAGGUGGAAGAUGCUUAGUAGCGCUCCUGACCUCGGUUCCUGUAUUCUUUUUGUAAUGUCCUUUUCAUGAAAUGAACUUUCUAUUUCUUCUUACAUCUGGUCUUUUCCUUUUUCACUUCGUCCACUGCUUGUACCCCUUAUUUUUUAAUAACGGGUAUGGUAUCAAGAUAUUAAAAAAUACCAAAGUGGCUCAAAGAAUAAUUCGUUAAAAUUCUCAAGCAUAAUACAAUCUAAAGUUUUCAGCGUGCCAAAUCCUCGGUACUAGGGAACCAUUUCGAUAGUUUAAUUUACAAUAUCCAUUUAGGUUACAUUCCAUGACUCGAUAGGGGCCUUCCCAUCUUGGCGAUAAUUUUUCUUGUGGUUCAGUUCGGCUGACCGAGUUUUUCCUGAGAAUUAGGUCUCCUGGUUGGAAUCGGCGGUGUUUCACAUGAGCAUUGUUGUAACGAUCCAAUGUGUUCUUGUAUGAAGCAACCCGAGUUGAGGCGACGUCUCUUUUUUUUUCGACGAGGUCGAGAUCCAACUGUCUCUAUCCGUCAUUCAUCUCGGCUGCGUAUGCUGCCAACUGAGGUUUGGGCGUGAGUAUCUCAGCAGGGAUGAUCGCCUCGGUGCCGUAAGUUAAGGAAAAGGGGGUCUCUUGCGUGGCCGACCUCGGCAUAGUACGAUAAGAUCAGAGGACACUAGGGAGUUCUUCUGCCCAUGAUGAUCCAACUUGGUGUAGUCAGGUCUUAAACCCAUGCAAGAGAGUUCGGUUAAAGUUUUCGGCCUGACCGUUGGCCUGGAGGUGGUCUACCGAAAUGAAGUGCUGUUUGAUGCCGAGGUCCUUGCAGCAGUGUUUAAACGAAUUCUCAGCAAACUGCUUCCCAAUAUCUGAAAUGAUGACCCCAGGUAUGCCGAAACGGUAAAUGAUGCAUUUCCAGAAAAAUUUUUGGACCUCCAACCCUGUGAUAGUCCUUAGAGGCUCGGCCUCGACCUAUUUAAAGAAGUAGUCCACAGCGGUCACAAGGAAAGUAUACCUUCCUAUAACUUUAGGGAAAUGACCGAUAAUGUUUGUCUCCCAUUACUCGAACGACCAGAGUGAGGUGAUAGAGACCAUGAGGUUUGUGGGUCGGUGGUGCUCGGGGGCAUGAACCUGGUAGGAAUGGCAACCGAGAACAAGGUCUUGGGUAUCUUGUCGAAUAGAGGGCCAGAAGUACCGGAGAAGUAGAGCAUUUUUAACCAACAUUCUGUGGCCGACAUGGGCCCCACAUAAGCUUUCGUGUAUCUCGUGGAGGAUUUGGUGUCUUUCUUUGGGUGUAAUGCAUUUCAGCCACGAGCCAAGGUAGGAUCGUUUAUACAGCUCCCCAUCGCGGAGUGCAUAUCGAGCAGCUUUGCGUUGGAUCCUUCUUGUUUCGGCUCGGUUCUCAGGAAGGAUUUCCUGACUUAAGAAGAGGAUGAACGGGCUCAUUCAGGUGUAUCCCAGGUGUACUUGGCAGGCCGUCCCUUCCAUGUAUCCUGAUUCGUUCAGCACUUCCACUAGGACCGUUUUGUUAAGGUCGAAAAAUGAUGUGGAAGCGAGUCGGGAUAAGGCGUCGGCCCGCCUAUUCUGCGACCGGGAUAUUCUUUGAAUUUCAAAAGACUCGAAGUAUGCGGUGAGUUGGUGAACUUUGGACAGAUACCAUUGUAUGGUCUCAUUCUUGGCUUCAUUUUCACCCAGGACUUGACAUACUGCAAGUUGGGAGUCGUUGCAGACAUGGAUCCGUCGAGCACCAAGUUUGCGGGCUAGCUGAAGUUCCGCAAUCAAGGUCUCGUACUCGACUUCAUUAUUGGUGAUUGGGAAGUCGAAGUGGAGAGCAUACGAGCACACUUCUCCGUGAGGGCCCUCCAGGAGCAAUCUUGCGCCGCUGCCAUUUCCAUUAGAGGAUCCGUUCACAUACAAUGUCCAUAAGUGCGGCUCGGACAUAUCGGAUAAGGCGGAAGUGGCAUCUCGGCUCUCCAAAAAGGUGAGCUAGGCAAAAAAGUUUGCUAAUGCUUGAACCUUGAUAGCAGUUCGCGGCUCAUACGACUGAUUGGACUCUCCCAAUUCGACAGCCCACUUGGUAAGGCGCCUAAAAGUCUCGGGACACACCAAUAUCUGCCGAAAAGGCUGAUCUGUCCUAACGGAGAUGGGAUGAACUAGAAAAUAGGCCUUCAGCCGCCGAGCUGCAUGGACUAAUCCUAGCACGAACUUCUCCACUUGAGUGUAGCGAGUUUCCGGCCAACGGAGAGCUCGGCUGACAUAGUAAACGGGUAUUUGAGUGCCCUCAUCUCGGAUGAACACAGCGCUGAUAGUUUCGUCAGCCACAGAGAAGUAGAGGUAUAGUCUUUUCUUAGGUUGAGGUGAAGUGAGAGUGGGGAGACGGUGUAAGUAUUCCUUCAAUUCGGCAAAAGCUUGCUGGCACUCUUUGGUCCAGAAAAAUUGAUCGAUCUUUUUCAACACCUUAAAAAAGGGUAGGGCCUUUUUGGCAGAUUGGAAAAGAAAACGGUUCAGAGCGGCCAGGCGGCCAUUCAACCUCUGCACUUCUCGGAUAUUCUGAGGUGGGGAUAUUUCUUGGAUAGCCUUCACUUUAUCGGGGUUUGUUUCAAUAUCUCGGCGGGAUACCUGGUACUCCAAGAAUUUUCCCGAAGUGACACCAAAAAUGCAUUUCUUCGGGUUUAGUAUCAUCCGGGAUUUUUGAAGGAUGCCAAAACUUCCUUUAUGUCGGACAGGAAGGUUGAAGUGGUUUGAUUUUUCAGAAGGAUGUCAUCCAUGUAAGCCUCUACAUUUCGGUCGAUUUGAUCUCUGAAGACGUAGUUGACCAGCCUCUGAUACGUGGCUCCGGCAUUCUUUAACCCGAAAGGCAUUGUUGUGUAAUAAUAAAUACCUCGAUCGGUGUAGAAUGUCGUUUUCUCUUGAUCCUUCUCGCUCAUCCCUAUUUGAUGGUAUCCUUUAAAAGCGUUGAGGAAGCAGAUGAUCUCAUGUCCCAUGGCCGAGUCGAUGAAGGCGUCAAUUCUCGGCAGUGGAUAGCAAUCUUUUGGACAGAUCUUAUUAAGAUCGGUGAAAUCCAUACACAUUCUCCACCCACUGACGUCCUUUUUGAUCAUGGCGGGAUUGGGCAGCUAGGUGGGGUACUGGAUUUCUUUGAUUAUUUUGGCUGGUAAGAGCUUGUUCACUUCGCCAGAAAUGGCUUUGCUGCGCUCAGGGCCGAAGUGCCUUCGUUUUUGCUUUACCGGUCUGGCACGCGAAUCUACAUUAAGUCGGUGGAUCAUGAGCUCGGGUGGCACUCCAACCACUUCGUCGGCCACCCAGGUGAAGACAUCUUGAUGCUCCUUGAUGAGGCUGAUCACCUCUUUCUUGAGGGGUGAAGGGAGGCUGGCUCCCACUUGAAUCACUUGGUCAGGCCUUACCUCGUCCAAAAUCACGUCCUCCACCUCGUCUCCGAGCUCAAUCUUGCUUGGCUUUCCAGUCUUCUGAAGAUCAAUACUGUCUAUGGAGAGGAUAGUUGGCCUCUUCUCCUCAGUCUUUGACACAGUUUGGGGAGUGAUCGCGGCCUGGAUGGUGGCCAGGUAACAUUCUCGGGCGGCGUUCACGACGCUCACCUCGUCUCUGAGCACAAUCCUGCUUGGCUUUCCGGUCUUCUGAGGAUCAAUACUGUCUAUGGAGAGGACAGUUGGCCUAUUCUCCUCAGUCUUUGACACAGUUCGGGGAGUGAUCGCGGCCUGGAUGGUGGCGAGGUAACAUUCUCGGGCGGCGUUCACGUCGCUGUUUACCUUGAUCACCCCCGCAGGUUUUGAAAACUUGAAACUCAGGUGGUAGGUGGAGUACACAGCCCUCAAGGCGUUGAGCGUGGGCCGCCUAUUAACAUGUUAUAUGGAAAAUCUGUUUUGACAACCGUAAAGCUAACGAGUAUAGUUCUGCAGCGGGGGUGUCGCCCAAUUGUCACAAUCAGGAAUACCAUUCCCUCUGGGUGGGCCACGUGUCCCCCGAAAUCGAUGAGGAGGGUCUUGACAGGGGUGAGCUGAUCUCUGAUCAGUUUCAAGCUUUCGAAGGUUUAAUAGUACAAGACGUCUACCGAACUGCCGGGAUCGACAUAGACCUUCUUGACUAUAUAAUUAUUGGUGAGUAUUUCAAUCACGAGGGGUUCGUGGUUGCUGGAGGCAGCAGGGACUGGGUCACUGGGACCAUAAGUGAUCACCUCGGAUAGCUGCGAGUUCGGUUCGGCAACCUCCAGACCGGCUUGACGGUAGGUCCGCUUCCGGAAGUUCUGGCUGUCUCCUCCCGUCGGACCACCCACAAUUGUAUUGAUGACCCUGCAAUGUUAGGGUCGUAGCCCGGUGACCCGUCUCGUGGAGGCCGCUGGUCCUCCCUAUGUUUUUUGAGCCCACGGCAAUGACUCUUUGUGUCUCGCCAGUCCUCUCGGCGAGGACCUCGGUUGCCUCGGUGGGAGGCACUUCGGUUGAAGCCUCCAUCCUUGCGGACGAAUUGCUUCAAGUGUCCCUGCCGGAUCAAGUUCUCGAUUUCUCUCUUCAGAUCGUUGCAGUCCUCGAUCUCGUGCCUAACAUCUCGGUGGUAGGCACAAUAGAGGCUGGAGUUCCUCUUCUCCCUCAUUCCCAGAAUCUCAGGAGGGACUCAACCGAGGUGGUUCUGCCUCAUUACAGUCAGAAUGUGAGACCGACUGGAAUUGAGGGGAGUCAGCUCAGCGUCCGAGGUGGACGACCUCCUCUUCACGAUCCUGUCAAAGACACUCCGGCGAUUUCGGAAUUGACUCGACGAGCCACUGGGGCCCUAUUCGAUUCAGCCGGUUUCUUUCUUUCUCCGGGAUUCCUGCCCAGUACGGACUGCUUGGGCUUCCCGUUUCAUGCGGUUUAGGUUCUCACUUCUGAUUUCUCGGUCUACCCGUUCCCAGAGUUUCUGAAGUGAACAGGAGUAAUCUCGAUGUAUUUCAGUGUGGAAGGUUCAUGCGGUCAACCAGUUGGUGAAGGCAGCUAUGGUUACCUGCUCAUUUUGAUCAGGUAUCUGCAUAUUUUCUUCAUUGAACCUCUGCACAUACGAGCGCAGUGACUCCCCGGGAGCCUGCUUUUGAUUCAAGAGGUAGGCUGAAGUCUUCGUAACUGGACGAGACGAUAUAAAGCGGUGAAUAAAUCUGUUUACCAACUCGUCCAAUAAGGAAAUGCUUCUUAGUUCCAAGCCCCAGAACCAUUUUUGAGCUGUCUCUUGUAGAAAAAUGGGGAAAGCUCAGGAAAUCAUGGCGUCGGGGACGCAGUAGAAGCGGAAUGCCGAAAUGAAUGCGCGGAGGUGAUCCUCAGGAUCAUUUCGGCCAUCGUAGGGCUGUAAUACCGAGAGUUUGAAGUUUGGGGGAACCAUUUCCCUAUUAAUGUCAUCGGUAAAGGGCGGAGCCCUCAUGUAAUCAGUUGCUAGCCUUCCAGGGUGCCGAGACGUGUCCUCAACUCAUCUUCCCAGUAAACUUCGGGAAAACGCCUGGAAAAUAGAGGCAAUUUUGGAGAUCGCCUUGAAAGAGGUGCGCCUGGAAGUACUCCGGGAGAGAUACCAAUUGUCAGAGUCCUCAUUUGAAGGCAUCUCAGGUGAUUUCGUCGAUCUCCUCUUGGAGGAUUCAACCGUUUCUUUUCCUUGUCUCUUAAAGUACCUCCCUAGUGCUUCGAAGAUAUUGGGAUUGUCUGCUACGAAUUCGGCCAUCCUGGCGAUGGCAUUUUCGUUUGCGGGUUGGGUCCUCGGGGACCCUUGUUCCUUGGAGACGUGAUCUUGUUGAGCAGCUGAGGCUUGCUCAACCCCGGUUGAGGGAACUCUUCUGCUCUUAGAGCGCGUAGGUCUCAUUUUGCAGUAAUCUUGUUCACAUAGAUGGUGCCAAUUGAAGAGGUGAUUUUUGGUAGGUUACUGAACCGACCUGAAUCAAUCUUCUCUCAAGUGAGGUGCGAUGAAUUCGCUUGCUCGAAGUGAAUGGCAGGGCUUCUUCCCUGGUAUCACUCCGACGAUCAAGUCAGUAUAUAGCGAGGGAAUAAAGAGUAAUAAACAGUAAAAAGGCAAUAGUGUGCUUACUUGUUGGGAGUGAAUGGCGGGUACUUAUAGGGCAGGAAUGGAGGACAGGACGGUGGGCUUAUGCUAGCGGGACCCACGUCCUGGCCAUUACGGCUCUGUCCCAUACUAGAGAGUCUGACUCUGACACUGUAGUAGUCUGGACAUGCUGACGAGGAGUCCCGUACAGUAGUCAUUUAAGAGUAUCAGGUGCUUUUCAGAUAAAGCACUGGUUCUGUAUUGUGUCAGGUAGGUUGACAUCAUCAGCGUGCAACCGAGGUAGAAGACUUAAGGUACAGAGGUCGUUCAUGCCAUAGACCAGAGAUCUGGCCAGACCCAGGGAUCACGUCUAAGGGAUAUUACUCGGUCUAUAUGACAAACGAAGUGGGAGGAUCUCGGCCUUGACGGUGGCCGAGGUGAGCAUCCUCAGGGACCAAGUUCCUUACUGAGCUCACCCUAUUAUACUGGGCAACAAGGCACAUAGAAGAAGAGAAUCAUCCGCAUCAACAAGUUGCUUGUAUCUAAUAAGGAGAAGAUGGUUUUCUUAUCUAAAUUGAUCUUGAGUCCUAAAAUCAAGAUUGCCUCAACUUAGCACUUCAAAUUAACAUAUUUCAAGUUCAAUGCGAUAUGUAAAGUAUAAACCGCGUGCCGUGAUUUAAACUUUCUUCUUGUUUUACUGGACGUGGGAGUAACCACCACAUAUUUUUAUUGAAGCAACCAUUACAUACUCGUAAAAAGAAUCAACCUACGGAGAAUAAGUUUCUUUAAUAUGCCAAGGCAUAUGCUGUUCUGCUCCUAGACACUGACGAGACCAAGAAUCAAUUCUCAUCAUUGUUAAUGUAGCACCCCUGUUUCUAAGUUCCUUCGAAUUAAUGGAAUGAUGUACCAAGAAAAAAAAAAUGAAGGGAUGCCAGUAUUUAUCCAACAUAUCAGACGACCUUUGAUUUACCUUAGCAAAUUUUGCAACCAUUUUGAGAGGCCAUUUUAGAGAAAUAACUGUUAACACUAAUCGCGGAUAAUUGUAGCCAGUAAACAGAAAACAAAGGAGUCUCUUUUCUUCUUUUUUCCCCUUUUUCCCCCUUUCUGAAUUCAAAGAUAUGCUAUUGCUGGCUGUUGUUUUUCCUUGGAAUAUAUCGAACCUAGCCAAGUCUGCUCUGUAUUUUUGAAGCUUCAGCAACAAUUUAGCUUCUAGGAAGAACUCAAGACCAACUGGAGUUUCAAUCAAAUGACAAAAUUCUAUCAUGGAUUGCACUAAAAUUUCACUGCACUUCAUAGCCAUAGCUAUGCAUAAAAGUACAUUCAUCCAUUUGGACUCAUAAACAGUAAAUAAAUCAAUUCAUCUCAACAUGGUAACAAUGAACUUUACAUUCCUUUCUCAGCAUCUAUGAUCUAUCGUUCAACCAUUUUAAGAUAUCUCCUCUUACAAUUUCAAUAUUCUCAUCAGGUUCCCCAUAC
rnacentral:lncRNA from 1 species